UUUUUUUUUUUUUUGUAUUUUCUAUCCAAUGUUUGAUAUCCGCCGUAGAACCCCGAGUAAACUAAAUUUGCAUCACUCAAGGUCCAUUAUAAGAGAAAGUGCAUCCGCAUGACUAAUUUUAUUUAUUAUUUAUGGAAUUUAAACUCGAAGCUUCUAACUAAGGUUACUUAGAUUCAAUCCACCUAAGCAUAAUCUUUGAUCGUAAUUUUUUUUUUUGCAUAUGUAUAAUAACAUUGUCCUUGCUAGGAGAGGAGUGAGGUUUGAAACUUCCAAAGAUGAAAAGAGAGGGUAGAAAUCUAGAGUUGUUCGCCGCAGAUGCGGAUUCAUGAUUUAUUUUUUAAAUCCCUCUAAAUUUAAGAGGAUCUAUAAUAUUUUCACACUUCCUAUCUAGCGUGACUCGAAUCCAGGACCUAACGGUCGUUGGUGGAGGUGCUUUUACCAUGAGCAAGCCUCACUUGUCAGAUUCAUUAUGUAAAUAUUAUGGUUUCAACCGUUAAGGUUUUUAGCAUUGAACCAUUAUAUUUUAAAUUUAUGGGUUCAUAUCUACUAUUUUAUUAUAAUUUUAAUAUAAUUUUACGCAUAAAUUUAUACUCCACAAUGAAAAUACUUGGUCCAGUUGAAUCAGGUACUAAAGGGCUAGUUGCCCUUGGUUGGCCGUAAUUACUCGUGUUUUCUAUCAAAUUAAAAAAUACAACAACAACCCAGUGAAAUCUCACUAGUGGGGUUUGGGGAGGGUAGUGUGUACGCAGACCUUACCCCUAUCCCGAAGAGGUAGAGAGGCUGUUUCCGAAAGACCCUCGCCUUAAGAGGACAAAAAGACAAAAUGAGACAAUAUUAGUAUCACUACAGAAAUCAUAGGAAAAAUAACAUGAAAUCCAGAAGAAAGAUGCAAAGCAAAAAUAAUAGCUAGUAAAUAGGUCCGGUACUGAAACACAAAAUAGUAAGAUACGACAUUGCCACUAGCUAGCUUAGACAAAAUCCUACCAGACUAGUCUCACAACGGUACGAAGUAAGGCAAGACUUAACUACCUCCUAACAUACAACCCUAAUACUCGACCUCCACAUCUUCCUAUCAAGUGCCAUGUCCUCGAAAAUCUGAAGCCUCGCCAUGUCCUGCCUGAUCACCUCUCCCUAAUACUUCUUUGGCCACCCUCUACCUCUUCUCGUGCCCUCCAUAACCAGCCACUCACACCUCCUUAUCGGGGCAUCUGGGCUCCUCCUCUGUACAUGCCCGUACUAUCUGAGCCUCGCUUCCCGUAUCUUGUCAUCAAUGGGAGUCACGCGUACCUUCUCCCGAAUAUCACCAUUCCUGAUCUUAUCCAUCCAAGUGUGCCCGCACAUCCACCUCAACAUUCUUAUUUCUGCUACUUUCAUCUUCUGGAUAUGUAAGUUCUUCAUAGCCCAACACUCAGCCCCGUACAUCAUGGCCGGUCUAACCACCGCUUUAUAGAACUUAUCUUUGAGUAUCGGUGGCACUCUCUUGUCACACAGGACUCCAGAUGCUAACCUCCACUUCAUCUAUCCUAUCCCAAUACGGUGUAUAAUAUUCUCGUCGAUCUCCCCUCCCCCCCUGGAUAACCGACCCAAGGUACNNNNNNNNNNNNNNNNNNNNNNNNNAUCAAUCAGAACUAUGUCAUCGGCAAAUAACAUGCACCAUGGCACCUCCCAUUGAAUAUGGUGUAUUAACGUGUCCAACACCAGGGCGAAUUAAAACGGACUGAGCGCAGAGCCUUGGUGUAGCCCCAUAACAAUCGGAAAAUGCUCAGAGCCACCUCCUACUGUCCUUACCCGUGUCUUAGCCCCAUCAUACAUGUCCUUAAUCUCCAUAAUGUAAGGAACUGACACACCUUUUGCCUCCAAAUAUCUCCAGAGAACUUCUCUAGUAACCUUGUCAUAUGCUUUCUUGUCAUGUGCAGGUCCUUCUUAUUAUCUCUGUACUGUUCCACCAACCAACUAACAAGGUGUAUAGCUUCUGUAGUAGAAUGACCCGCCAUGAACCCGAACUGGUUGUCGGAAACAGACACUGACAUCCUCACUCUCGCUUCAACCACCCUCUCCCACAUUUUCAUGGUAUGACUCAGUAAUUUGAUACUCCUAUAAUUGUUACAACCCUAGAUAUCACCUUUGUUCUUAUACAAUGGAACCACCGUACUCCACCUCCACUCAUACGGUAUCCUCUUCGCCUUAAAAAUAACAUUGAACAACCCAGUCAACUAAUCCAAGCCUGCUUUCCCCACACACUUCCAAGAUUUUACCGGAAUCUCGUCAGGCCCUGUCGCUCUGCCCCUACUUAUCUUACUCAUAGCUACCACGACCUCCUCAACCUUGAUGCGCCUGCAGUACCCAAAGUCAUGAUGACUCUCAGAAUGCUCCAAUUCACCUAGCACGAUAUCCCGAUCCCCUUCUUCAUUCAGAAGUUUAUGAAAGUAAGUCUGCCAUCUCUUCUUAAUAUGGGAAUCUUCCAUCAAUACUCUACCAUCGUCAUCCUUCAUGCAUCUCACUUGGUCUAAAUCUCGAGCCUUCCUCUCUCUCAACUUGGCCAACCGGAAUAGCUUCUUCUUCCCGCCUUUUUCCCCCAGUUCCUUGCACAUACGACCAUAAGCUGCAGUGUUAGCCUUUGUGACCGCCAGCUUAGCUUCCUUCCUAGCUACCUUAUACCUCUCCAUGCACGCACGUCUCUCCUCCUCACCUAUGCUCCCCACUAACUUUAGGUACGCCGCCUUCUUCGCUUCCACUUUACCCUGGACCACUUCAUUCCACCACCAGUCUCAUAUGUGGCCGCUAGCGACACCGGUCGAGACCCCUAACACCUCUCUUGCAACAUCACUUAUACAGUCUGCUGUCGUUGACCACAUAGUGCUCGCAUCUCCACUGUUCUUCCAAGCUCCCAUAGAUGACAACCUCUCCUCCAACUCUUGGGCUUUAUCCUCAGUCAAGGCUCCCCACCUGAUUCUCGGUCUUCCUCGAGAAGACCUUUUCCUCCUCUUCAACAUAAUACCAACGUCCAUCACCAAGAGCGCAUGCUGCGUCUCAAGCAUCUCACCUGGAAUCACCUUACAAUCCUUGCACAGCCCUCUGUCACAUCUCCUGAGGAGGAGAUAGUCAAUCUAAGUCUUCGCCACUACAUUUUGAAAAGUAACCAAAUGCUCCUCCCUCUUCGAAAAGGUAGAGUUCGCAAUCACCAACCCAAAAUCCUUAGCGAAGUCCAACAAGGAGGUACCUCCUCCGCUCCUCGCCCCAAAACCAAAGACUCCAUGCACCUCGCCAUAACCACCUGCGGUCGACCCAAUAUGACCAUUAAAAUCCCCUCAUAUGAAUAGCUUCUCAGCAGGUGCAACCUGGCGCACAAUCUCAUAUAACCUUUCCCAAAAAUGCCAUUUAACCUCCUCAUCUAGGCCCGCAUGCGGCGCAUAGGCGCUAAUGACGUUUAGAGUGUACUCUCCAACCACCAACUUAAUAAUCAUCAAUCUAUCAUUCACUCGUCUAACCUCAACCACAGACUCUCUAAGUUCCCUAUCCACCAAGAUAGCCACUCCAUUUUUACCCUUCUGGACUCCUGAGUAACAAAGUUUAUACCCGUCCGCGUCCCUCGCCCUCGACCCAACCCACCUUGUCUUUUGGACACACGCUAUAUUGACCCUCCUCUUCUGGAGGAUCUUUGCCAACUCUAUAAACUUACCCGUCAAUGUACCUACAUUCCAUGACCCAAUUCUUAACCAGUGGACACCCUUGUUCCCUAUACCUCCCUUGCCUUCCGACCCGCCCCCAACCCCUGCCCUACCUCCCGCUCCCCUCGAAUAACAAUUGAAUUUGUACACAGUUUUAAGAAUACCUGAUACAACUUGAUACAAAAUAAGAAAUCGGAUUAAGAUUGAAAUUAACGAUAAGAAAAGUAAAUGCAAACCACACAAAUUGAACAAUCCUGGACUUGAAGGUUGAUCACACUCGGGUAGAAAAUUCUAUAAUCGAUGCCGGAAUAGAGUAAUGAGAUAAUAAUAACUAGAAAUGAUAGUUUAUUGCUUUGAGAUGUGAGUUACAAUGUCUUUUACAAAUAAUCAGACCCCCUUUAUAUAGUACGUGAGUCUUACUUUAGGUACUACUCUAUAUAUGGUAAAACAUCUCCUGAUUUGCUAAUUAAUCGGUUUCAUUGAUACGUGCCAAGAUUCCCGCCAUGAUGUGUGACCAGUUACGGAUAUUUCGGUCAUCCGUUAUUUUAGUUCGAUGAUUUUCUCUUGAGUUAAUUCGGAGUUAGAGUCAGUUCCGGGGUUACAGACUCGAUAGUCUUUAAAGGCGCGUGUUCUAACCUUGUACCUAGGUUCGACGAAAUCUAGGGUCGAUCUUCAAUCCAUUAUGUUUCAUCCCCGAUACGUCAUGCAAUAGGCGAACUUGGUUUCUACCGUAUACAAAUAGUCCCCUCGUUUUUCAGAGAGUAAAUGACGAGAAAUGAUAUGAGCCUCAGAUUCUCACUAUACGAGCUUCUGAUUCUCACUCUGAUAAAUGACAACAAAUUCUUUACGUAAGGGAUAAGAAUAGUUGAAACAUCCCAUCGGUCCAGUCUUUGAGGUAUUAAAAUGUGCGCCAGUUAACGUUUUUCUGCUUCGGGAUAUGAACCGCCGUUUGAGAAACCUGUAAAUACCCUUUUCAUCAUUUCAUUAGAACUUUUACAUUCAAACAUUUGCACUUGCGUCUUAAGAAAACUUCAUCACUCUCAUCUUCAAACUUCUUUCCUUCUGGUUUUCUGAAAGGUUUCAUAAGUUAUCUGCUAAUUAUACCUCCUAUUUUAUUAGCACCCUCUUCUCUCCUCUAUUUAGAAGCAAUGACAAAGACUUCAAAAUCCGUUCCUCAAAAAGAAACUCCCUCUUUCUCGAAACCGACUGAGGAUGUUUUGCCUGUUGUCACUGAGGAACCAACACUAGAACCCCUCUUGAAGAUGUUCGUCCCUACGGGGUGUCCAAUCGGAGUCGAUUUCAAGGUUGAGAAAACCUCCUUGGUACCGGUCCAGUGUGAACCGGUCUCGAGAUACAUAUGUUCGGUCACCGACAGUGUUCUCGACAAAGUCAAGGAGGACUGCAACUGGGUCGGUAAGCACGUAGUGGUUCCUACGCCCGAGGAAGCAAUCACCACCCAUGUGGAGGGUUUUUUAAGUGUAUACACUUAUCUCUUCACGUCGGGCCCUUUAGAGCCAGUCAUCAUCGCCUUUUAUAAGAGGUAUGAGGUGACCCUAGGCCAAAUUCAUCCCUCCUUCUGGAGGAUAGUCAUCCUCCUCCGCUUUUUUGUAAACAAGAUCGAGGGGUGCCCCUUCACUAUCGAUCAACUCAUGCAUCUGUACGGUCUCCAACUCUAUCGAGAGGGCUAAUAAAACUUUGUCGUUGGGCCAAUAAGGCCCCGCUAUCGAGCAUCAACGAGGAUCUGGACCGAGGCUGUUUGGGCUAAUUUGUUCGAGUGAAGACCUCGGACCUAAUCCCGGCCGAGGAUAUGCCAUUUCUUGAGAAAUUGAACAUCAAGCGUAAGUAUAACCUUGCCUUUAAGAUUUUUUUUAUCAUUUUUCUUUUUCCCUUCUUCUUAUCGAUUCUUUGUGAUGCAACUAUUGCUCGGAUGUCGGAUGCAGUUCCUCGAUUCAAGGAGUGGGUCGAGGGCAUCGUGUUGCAAAAACCCUAUUCUGAGCACGCGUGGCAUGAACUUUUGAAGGGUCCAUCGGAGACCCGUGCUCACGGUGAGAUUUCUCUACUGAGUGAAUCAAAACUUAGUUUUCUUAGCUGCCUUCAUUCUUACUUUUUUUCCUUUGUAGGUCUUCCUAAAGAUGUCGAAAUGAGGCCCUAGUCUGGUGAUGCAGACAUCCUCCCCAAACCAUCUAUUUUGAGGCAGGAUAAAGAGAAGAAGAGAAAAAGGGCACCAAGUUCUCUGAACUCGGAGAAGAAAAAAAUAAAAAGGAGGCUGGUGCGCAAGUCCAAGGAAAGAGUCAAUGCCCGGGAGGUCCCAUCGGAUUCACUCAGUCGACUGAGGGAUGAAUCCAAAGAAGAAGAAGAAGCCUCUGAGAUGAUGACCCAUAUGAGGAGCAGUACCGAGUUGCCUCAAACCACGGAGGCCGGUGGAUAGGUUGUGGCCGAGGCCUUCGAACUCGGGAGGGUCGAGCCCGUUUUGCCCCGAGCUAAGUAGGUCGACAUCGAGACCGUGGCCGAUGCUUCUCGAGCAGAAGAUAAUGUACCGAAGGAAGUCCUUGGGGUGAUAGAUCUUUUUGGGUCACCAUUAUUCACCAACUCGAUGAUAAACGAGGCCUAGAUGCUGAAAGGAUGCCCAAACGAGGGGCUUCAAGGGGCAGCAGAGUCCUUUAUCAACUUCUUCGAUGGUAUGGAUUCUACCGCCUGGAGGAUGUCAUCGGUUUAGGUGACUUAUUGGUGCCAAAGAAGAUGCCGUCUUUGGGAGCCAGCGAAUCUUCUUCAAGUCUGAGAUUGGUAAAAAGGUUCCCAGCCCCGAGUGCAGAUCAUGACCGGAAGAGGUCAAUCAUCAUAUCCAUACCGGAGGAUGCCCGGGUUCUCUCCGCCCCCGUAGGGAUUGCUAGCUAUCUUUGAUGCUUGCUGACCAAAGAGGAUCGGGCCAAAAUGGACGGGGUAGAGGCCUUUCAACGAAGCUCAACAGGCAUUGAAUCGGGUAACUUCGAAAGCCUUUUUGUUAUGUACUUAGAUUAAAUUGUGAACAAUUAUAACAUUAUUCUUUGUGUUUGCAGGCCUUGGUGCUUCACCACCAAACCUUUCUCCGAUAUCGAGCAGAGUUAAACCAACACGAGGCCAAGACUUGGGAGCUUACUGAGAAGAGGGAUGCUUACAAAUUCCUUAGUGAGAAGUUCCAGGACGAGUUAGAAGCGGCUCGGAAGGAGCAUGCCGACCUGGUCGAGCAGGUAAGACAAGUAUUUGAACUUAGUAACGAUGAUUUAGACACGGUGGCUAAUGACCCGAACCCGGAGGUUCAAAAGAGACUUGACCAGAUCGAGCAGCUCCAGGCGGAAGUGGACACGGUGAAAGUUAAGGCCGAAGAAUAGAAGAAAAAUAUGGAUCGCCUGGCCUCGAAAAAGGAGACUGUCCGAGGAAAACUGGCUUCGACUGAGAUCCAGCUCCGGGUUGCAAAAGAAAAUGCCUUCGUACAAUUCAAAAAGAUCGAGGAGCUCCAGUCUCAACUGAGCUCGGCAGUCUCCGGCUAAGAAAAUCUAGCCAAGGAACUCGAGGUGGCCAAGUCGGAGAUUGCCGUGGUUAAGGUCGAAACUGAUGAGCGGGUGGACCAGCAUAAUGCCGAUGCCGAGGCAGCUCAGGACCAAGUGAGAAACUUGGUGGAGCACAUAAAGUGGCAAUCCCGAAGGGAGGCCUUCGAGGGAGUUCGAGCUUAGGGUUUUGACCUGCUGGCUGAGAUCGAGAAAGCCAAGGUAUCCGAAGCCCAGUCCAGGAAGCUGGCUUACCCUGAGGAGGAGGAUUUUGAGGAGUCUGAAGAUUCAGGCUAGCUCGAAGAUGGCGGAGACCCCGAAGGUGAUGACGCGGCCCCCGACGGAGACUAGGCCACUAAGGUUUUUUCUUCUUUUGUUUUUUGUAUUUUUGUUGAGGCCGUUUUGGCCCUUGUAAACAUUUUCAUCGGGGAGUUCGGCCCUUGUAAAAGAAAUUUUUGAUUAUUAAUAAAAGGCUUUUUCCCUUUAACAGGUUUCAAUUUUUCCCUUUGCCUUGUUUAUUUUUAUUUGCAAAGAUCUAAAUGCCUUGGCAUAAAACAGUUGGUUUUGUUUGGAGACUCGAAGAAACCUUACCUUCGACUAUUUCAUUUUAAGGCAUCAUGGGGGUUCGAUGUGAUCGAAAGUUUUCUUUCCCCAAAGUACUUAGACUUUUAGUCACAAUCUAUCGAGGAUAGCCUUUGGAACCAGCUAAGAAAAUUUUAAGGCCUUGUUAUUUUUAUGACAGGCUUUGGACGUCUCCAAACCGAGUUGAUAUGGCCGUAGCCUUUAUAGUUCGGGUGUUGUCCCAUGUUAAUAUCUUUAUCCCGAGUUAUCCGGGUUUGCCUAAGAUAGCUGUCCCCGAGUGGGGGUGGCCUUAGCCUACCAAAUUCGGGGGUUGCCUAAUAGGUUUUAUAUCCCCGAGGUCUAAUAGCUUAGACCGUCCGAGUUUGUUUCCAGACGACAGUCCUCGAGUGAUAGAGUGAUUAUUUGAACUCAGGUUAAGGUGGCCCUUGGGCUCAUUUCCUUUAGGGAAUCGGAAGCAGGGAAUUUCUUCAGAAAUGUAAAGGAAAUAUUUUUAAAAGACAAGAUGUUUGCAAGGAAGAGACUUCUCUUUAUUCUUGUGCAUAAUAGUAAUGAAUAUGUACAUGCUUUGUGUCAGGGUUAGAGCAGUCUAUGUGGGCAUAGUUUAUUUAACCAUUUGGCCCUUACAUUGAAUCCUAUCAAUCGAGACCCUUCAAUCUCGAAGUCUCUUUCCAUGCUAAAGUCGAUAUCGGAGGGUAAUGCCCCAGUCUUCGAGGUUGAUCGAAGAAAGACCUCGAAUAUUGUUUUGAUAACUGUUACCGGCUCGCUGCUGGCCUUCAAUUCUAAAUUAGCACGAUUUUCUUGCUGCCUCGUUAAAAACCUUGCUGGAAAAUUCAUUUGAGACAAAACCGGUUCAAGGAAAAAUGAGUGCAACGCGUACUUUCAUACCUAAAAUCUCGUACUUUUCCUUAUUGAUCACCUGUAGAAGUUAGUCCAAAAUAUAAGUAAAACAAAAUGGAUGGGGUAGUACCGUAGCAGUAAUAUCGUUUCGGGUGAGCUACAUUACAGUUGUUCGGUAGUUGCUCAUCGUUCAUUGUUUCGAGCUUGUACGAUCCUUUUCUAGUUAUCUCGAUAAUUUGGCACGGUCCUUCCCAAUUCGGCCCCAAUUUCCCUUCGUUCAGGUUUCAUGUGCUUAGCGUGACCUUUCUUAGUACCAAGUCCCCGAUAUUGAAGUUUCAAAGGUUGGCCUUUCUAUUAUAGUAUCUUUCGAUUGGCUAUUUUUGGGCGGCCAACCGGACAAGAGAGGCCUCACGCCUUUCAUCUAAUAGCUCCAGGUUUGUACUCAUAUCUUCGUCGUUCGAUUCUGUUGUUGCAUGUCAGAAUCUGAUACUUGGUUACCCGACCUUGACCAGUAUCAAAGCUCCAGCGCCAUAAACCAAAGAAAAUGGGGUAGCCCCAGUACUGGACUUUAAGGUUGUACGAUAUGCCCACAGGACUUGGGGUAAUAUUUCUUUCCAUCUUCCUUUGGAAUCGAUUAACCUCUUUUUAAGGUUUUGGAGUAUGGUUUUGUUGGUAGAUUCAGCUUGUCUAUUCCCAUUAGGGUGAUAGGGUGUCAAUAGGAUCCUUUUGAUCUUGUGAUCUUUGAGGAAUUUGGUUACUUUGCUUCUGAUGAAUUGUUUCCCAUUAUCGCAUAUGAUCUUCGGCUGGCAUUCCGAAUUGGCAUAUGAUGUGAUCCCAAAUGAAAUCGAUGACCUCCUUUUCCCUAACCUUAUCAUAUGCUUGGGCUUCCAACUACUUAGAAAAAUAAUUAGUCAUAAACAAUAUAAAUUGAGCCUUACUUGGUGCCAACGGAAGGGGGCCAAUGAUAUACAUUCCCCACUUCAUGAAUGGUCAUGGCGAUAAAACCGAGUGGAGCAACUCCCCGGGUUGAUGGAUCAUCAUAGCGUGUCUUUGUUAUUCAUCACAUUUUCGAACGAACUCCUUUGCGUUUUUUUCCAUGUCGAUCUAGUAAUAACUGUCUCUGAUUAUUUUUCGAACCAGCGAUUCGGCGCCCAAAAGAUUUCCACAGGUACCUUCAUGGAUUUCCCUCAGAACAUAUUCAGUAUUGCCCGUCCCUAGACAUAUUACAAGUGGACUAUCAAAUGUUCUUCUGAACAAGGUUUUGUCUUCGGACAUGCUAAAUCAGGCCGCUUUUGUACGCAGGGCCCUCGACUCUUUUGGAUUCGAGGGCAGUUUACCGGACCUGAGAUAUUCCACAUACUUAUUCCUCCAGUACCAAGUUAGGCUCAUCUAAUUGAUCUCGGCGUGGCCUUCUUCCACCACCAAUCUCAUAAGUUGUACGACCUCUCUUGAGUCGAACUUGUCGUCUUCAACUGAUGACCCCAAGUUAGCGAGGGCAUCGACCUCGCUGUUUUGAUCCCAGGGUACGUGUUGCAAAGUCCAUUCUUUCAACCGAUGUAAUAUCACCUUUAAUUUGUUCAAUUAUCUUUGCAUUCAUUCCUCUCUGACCUCGAAUGUUCCACUGACUUAGUUUACCACAAGGAGGGAGUCACACUUGGAUUUGUUCACCUCUGCCCCAAGCUCUUGGAUAGUUCAAGCCCUGCAAUCAUGGCCUCAUAUUCGGCCUCGUUGUUAGUCAAUUUUACAGUUUUAAUAGAUUAUCUAAUUAUAUUACAUGUUGGUGGCUUUAAUAUGAUGCCAAGUCCGGACCCUUUUGCAUUUAAGGCACCGUCCGUGAAGAGGGUCCAAACUCCAGAGAAAGUUCCUGAAUUAAUCAAUAACUCUCUUUCAACCUCGGAUAUUAGGGCCGGUGUAAAGUCGGCCACAACGUCUGCCAAAAUUUUGAGAUUUAAUGGCGGUCUGAGAUUUCGGGCUUAUGCAUAACGUUCUUCAAUGGGUAAAUAGUUACGACACAUAUGGAGUGACAUUGGAAGUACUGUUUUAGCUUCCUAGAGGUGCUUAGAAAAGCGAGCGCCAGUUUUUCCAGGUGAGGGUACCUAGUUUCGGCCUCACCUAAGGUUCUACUAACAUAGUAAAUUGGAAAUUGCGUACCUUGCUCUUCCCGAAAUAGGACUCCACUUACCUCUAUCUCCGAGACCGCCAAGUACAAGUACAGUUGUUCGUCCAUCUUCGGUGUGUGAAGUAGGGGCAGGCUCGAUAAAUACCUCUUGAGUUCCUCCAAAGCUUGUUGGCACUUCGGGGUCCACGAGAAGUUGUUCUUCUUCAAUAGUGUGAAGAAUCGGUGACUCUUGUCGGACGACCUUGAAAUAAAUCGCCCCAGGGUGGCUAUUCAACCAGUUAACCUUUGCACGACCUUUACGUUGUCCACGACCGUGAUAUAUUCGAUGGCUUUGAUUUUAUCGGGAUUGAUCUCGAUUCCCCGAUUGGAUACCAUGAAUCCGAGGAACUUACUCGACCCAACUCCAAACGCACAAUUUUCUGGGUUCAGCUUCAUAUUGUAUUAUUUCAGUAUACUGAAGGUUUGCUCAUCCUUGAUGAAAGCAUGUUUGAUCUUGGACUGGGGUCUCCUCGUUUGUUUAACCGGGUGAAAUUUUGGGUCCAGGCUUAGCUUGUGAGUGGUUAUCUCCGGCAGGAUACCUGUCAUAUUGAGGUGGGACCAAGCGAAAUACAUUUUGUUAGUAAUAAGAAAUUGAAUGAGUCUUUCCCUGAGCUCAGAGCUUAGCCUCGUGCCCAGGUAUACCUUUCGUUCGGGUAAGCUUAAUAUAACUUGUUCUAGCUCCUCGACCAUCGAUUUAGUGGCGUAGGAAUCAUUGGGGGCUAUAAAAGAUCUUGGAACCCCAUAUUCAUCAUCCUCGACUUCUUUUUGUUUAUCUGAAUCUGCCGAAGAGGGUAUCAGUGAUUGCUAUUUGGCCCCGUUUUUUACCAUCUGGUUUGGACCCUUCGAUGUUGAAACUGUAGAUACCCGUAUCACCUCCUCGAUCGCGAACAUUUCCUUCGCAGUCGGCUGUUCUUCGUAGAUUGUUUUGACGCCAUCGGGUGUCGGGAAUUUCAGUGUCUGGUGUAGUGUCGAGGGCACUGCCCUCAUGUUGUGGAUCCAUGGCCUCCCGAAUAAAGCGUUAUACCUCAUAUCCUCUUCGAUCAUAUAAAAUUUAGUCUCCUGGAUGGGUCCGGCUAUGUUUACAGGUAACGUUAUUUCUCCCUUAGUGGUCUCACAUGCCAUGUUAAAUCCAUUCAGAACUCAAACUGCAUGCACGAUUUGGUCUUGUAGACCGAGUUGCUCUACGACCCUCGAUCGAAUGAUGUUUGGCCGAGCUACCUGGAUCAAUUAAUACACGUUUAACUCGAAUUUUAUUUACGAGUACAGAUAUUACAAGUGCGUCAUUAUGGGGUUGUACGAUUCCUUCCGUAUCCUCGUCAUUGAAAGAUAAAGUUCCCUCCAGUAUGUAGUCCCGAGUUCUUUUCUCCCUAGUGAUGGAUACUUUGGUGCGUUUCAACAUCGGCCCCUAUAAAAUAUCAACUCCUCCGAUGAUCAUGUUAAUGACAUGUUGACGUUCUUAUUAUUCUGCAUAUUUGUUAGAAUCCCUGUUCCUGAAAUGAUUCUUGGUUUGGUCGCUCAAGAACUCCUGAAAGUUCUCAUUGUUGAAUAGACGGGCCGCUUCUUCACUCAACUACCGACAAUCUUCCGUUCUAUGACCGUGAGUUCCAUGAUAUUUGCAUAUCUGGUUAGGAUCCCUUUGGGUUGGAUCAGACUGUAGAGGUCGAGGCCAUUUGGUAUCUUUGAUGCGCUCGAUAGCUGAUACAAUAGCGGCAGCAUCGACAUUGAAGUUAUAUUCCGAUAGCCUCGGUGCGUCUUUGGACCUGUCGAAGCCAUUUUUGGUCAUAUGUCCCCGGCUGCUUUGCCCUCGGUCAUUUCUCCUUUCGUUUCUCAUAGGGUUUCGCCCAGACUCGCUGCUUCUCUGAUCUCUAUUAUAUGGUUGAUAUCGACCCCUGUUUGGCCUCGGUUCGCGAUCAAUAUCUCUCUUGACUCUGUAGAGGGUUCUGACGGGAUAGACAGACACCAAAGGGGCCCCGAGUUCAUCAUCUUCGACUCUGAUUUUUGAUUGCUACCAGUUAUACACGCCAGCCCAUGUAACAUCCGGGUAUUCUAUUAAAUUCUACUUCUGCUGCUGUGAAGCCACCGAGCUCCGAAUAUUAAGUCCCUGUGUGAAAGCUUGAACAACCCAAUCAUCAGCGACCGACGACAAAUCCAUUCGUUCCAUUUGAAACCGGGACACGAACUCUCUGAGCAUCUCGUUAUCCUUCUGUUUGACUUUGAAAAGGUCCGAUUUCCUAGUCUCGACCUUGAUGGCAUAUGCAUGUGCCUUUACGAAAGAAUCUGCAAGCAUAGCAAAUGAGUCAAUAGAAUUAGAAGGUAAAUUAUGAUACCAUAUCAUAGCUCCCUUCCACAGGGUCUCCCCAAAUUUUUCAACAGAACAGACUCGAUCUCAUCGUCCUCCAGGUCGUUCUCUUUGAUAGCACAUGUAUACGAGGUUACAUGCUCGUUUGGGUCGGUCGUUCCGUUAUAAUAUGGUAUUUCGGGCAUUCGGAAUUUCUUGGGGAUCGACUUCGGAGCCGUGCUUGGUGGAAAAGGUUUUUGCAUGAAUUUUCUGGAAUCCAAGCCAUUCAAUAUCGGGGCUUCUCCUGAGAUUUGGUCUACUCUGGAAUUGUAGGUUUCCACCUUUUUGUCGUUAGCCUGGAUCUUCUUCUCCCCUGAUUUUAUCCUUUUUGUUAACUCCUCGAGCAUCUUUAUAAUCUUGGGGUUAGCCCCCGAUUCACGUUCGUUUGACCUUUCUACGACCGGUUCAUCCUUGCGGGUGACUUCCCCGGGAGGAUCAGGCUCAACCCUACUUGGCGCAUGACUUUGGUUCUGUUACUGAGCUUUCGCCACCUGUUGAGCCUGCAAGAUUUUGAAGAUCACUCGUAGGCUGAUCCCGUCACCUUCAAGUUUUUGUGUGUUUCGAGUUGUCGAUCGGGAUCCACCACGAAUGCUAUUUUCGGGGAUGGUAGGCAAGUUUGCAUCGAUAGCCACAUGCGAAUUAGCAUCAAUCGAAUCUGCGAUUGGAAUUCCAGCGGGAUCAGCAGGCGGUAUCUCGUUAUCGGGCGUUAUGUUGUUAUUUUAGCCUUGGUGACCGGACUUGUUGUCAAUAUGCAGAGGUGCUGAUUGAGAGUUUGAUAUUUUUGUACUUUAGCCUGGAAUUAAAGACACUUCAAAGAGCAAGUGUAAAGCAGUGUGUGUUAUGGAGAUUUGUAUCAGAUAAUCACUAUUAUCCUUAGCCCCACGAUGGGCGCCAAACUGUUUACCUUCAAAAUCUGAUAACAAUUAAAUUUGUACACGAUUUUAAGGAUACGUGAUAUAACUUGAUACAAAAUAAGAAAUCAGAUUAAGAUUGAAAUUAACGAUAAGAAAAGUAAAUGCAAACUACACAAGUUGAACAAUCCUGACCUUGAAGGUUGAUCACCCUCGGGUCGACAAUGCUACAAUCGAUACCGGAACAGAGUAAUGAGAUAAUAAUAACUAAAAAUGAUAGUUUAUUGCUUUGAGAUGCGAGUUACAAUGUCUUUUACAAAUAAUCAGACCCCUUUUGUAUAGUAGGGGAGUCAUACUUUAGGUACAACUCUAUAUAAGGUCAAAAAGCUCAUGAUUUGCUAAUUAAUCGGUUUCAUUGAUACGUGCCGAGAUUCACGCCGUGAUGUGCGAACGGUUACGGAUAUUUCGGCCUUCUGUUAUUUUGGUUCGAUGAUGUUCUCUCGAGCUAAUUCAGAGUCAGAGUCAGUUCUGGGAUUACAGAUUCGAUAGUCUUUGAAGGCGCGUGUUCUAACCUCGUACCUAGGUUUGACGGAAUCCAGGAUCGAUCUUCAAUCCAUUAUGUUUUAUCCCGGUACGUUAUGCAAUAGGCGAGCUCGGUUUCUACCGUAUACAAUUAUAUUUUAUUUACUUAUAAUUAAAUGAUAAAUAUAUUUAUGAAAGACAUAUUUUGCAUCUAUUAGUUUAGUGCAAAUACUUUUAAGUUUUUCUAUUGUUGCCAAGAAUAAAAUUUGCAAGUGAAACAUAUUUUUAUAAUUCUCAACAUAACAAAAAGUUCGAUUAAAUCUUGCGGUUUUGGUUUAGUUUACUCAUUCCAAUUAAUGGUGGUACCAUCAGGGUUGAUUUGCAACGUCAAUUACGAGUUUAAGUGAAUCUAGUAAUUUUUGUUCGAAUUUCUAGUAUAUAAUAAAGAAAUUCUUUAUAUAUUUGUAAAUAUUUAAUUAAAAAUCUAGUUAUUAUUAUAUAUAUGAAUUUAAGGUCGUUGUUGGAACCCCUAACUUCAGAUCAUCAAUCUGCCUAAAUACUACCGUUUAGCUAAAGGUUAAUCACGCAAUAACGACCUAUUUUCCGUAUUAAGAAAAUCAAAGAUACUUCUUUUAAGCUGACCAAUGAGAUAAGUACAUUGCUAGAUAAUCAAUCUUCUCUGCACGUUUUUUUUCUGGUCUACUUUUGUCUUCUUUUCCCUUCUUUCCUUUGUUUUGGCUAGCUUGAUAGCUCUAGAUUUAUUUAUGGUCUUUUUGAACCUCUAGAUUUAUUUAUUAAGUACUUUUAAAGUGUUACUAUAAGGUUAACCACUUCUCUUAAAUCAAAGAAAUCUAACCCUUUAAAAAACGUUUAGCUUCCUAUGUCUGGCCACAUUGAUAGUCGUGACUAUUAAAUUAAUUUUACAUUAUAUAUGAUUUAAACAUUUGAAAAAUUCAUAAAUAUAAUUUCAAGGUAAAAUACUUUUUAAGGAAAACUAAGGGAAUAUAAAUGGUGGAAGCGUAAAUCUUCCUGCACUAGUUAAAUGAGAUUAGUCGAUUUAGGACUAUAAUACUCUAUCCAGAGACGGAUCUAAGAUUUCAAAAGGAUGAGUGCACUACUGUGAAGAAGUGAAUCUAGAAUUUAUAUUUGACGGGUUUAACUUUAGUGCAUUACCAUGAAACCACUACACUUAUGAAAUUAUAGGUUCAAAAUUAUAUUAUUUUUGAAAUUUUUAGAAUUUUUUAUAUAUAUAUAUAUAUAUAUAUAUAUAUAUAUAUAUAUUAGAGUACGACGACGACACACGAGGGAGAAGGNNNNNNNNNNNNNNNNNNNNNNNNNUGUGUGCCUUGCCUCCCACGACUGAUAAUUAUAUCAUAAAAGUCUUUGAGUAUGAGUUUAUGCACAUAUAUUUAAGUAAUUUUUAAAAAAUAUAACAUUGAUAUACAUGAUUUAGGAAGAGCAAUAUAAAUUUACGUGAACCCAUAUCCCUCUACUUGAAUACGCCUCUGACUCUACCAUCUUAAAACAAAAGAAAAAUAAAAUAUUAUUAUGGAAAAAUGGUAAAUACUUAUUUAUCUUUAAUUGUAGUACUAAAAACGGAGUCACUUUUUAUAUUGGGGUCCAUGUCCCUGGACUUUUUCUCCUCCAGGUUACGAAUUAGGUGAGAUGUGAUUGAAAUUUGUAACACAAUUUAAAAGUAGUAUGGCUUGAUUUUGAUAGAAAGAACUUUUCUAGUCACAUCCAUACAAUUUGAAAUGAGAUAUGCAUGGUUUGACCUACAAAUCAUUCAAAUGGCUUCACAUAUAAGGUAAGCAUUACGUCCACUUUUGCAGGCAAUUUUUCCCCUUUUAACUUUUUUUAAAAUUAACCUUAUCUCUUAAUGGUUAUCUUCUUAAGCUGUUCAUCCUUUGGUGACUCGAUCUCCAAAAUUCAUGAUCAAAAGUGUAGGUAACGUGUGAUUGGUUAGAUAACAAGUAUUAACCAGUAGUUUGAAAGGCUUUUUUAGGAUUCAUGGGGGCUCGCCCUUGGGUACGAGACACUAUUAAAACAUCUUGAGGCUAUCACAUGGAGCUUAGUUAUGUGAGGUUCAUGCCCCAAGCAUCUCAACUAUUCCUAAAAAUGCUUAACACUUAAUGUUCGAGGCUCGCCUGAUAGUUCAUACUCAAAUCAUGCAUUGAAUUUUCUAAUUAGUACUGUGGAUCCUCAAAAUUCUUUAACAAAUGAAUAAUUAAAGUUCUAUUCAUGUAUAGAAAUAUGAAAAUUCAGAGUAACUCAAAAAACGAUUCAUAGUAUUGUAUAUUUAUUAAUCGAGAACAUUGUGACAAAAAAUAUCAUUUGAACAUUUCUCCUAAAUAGAUAGCCAAAAGUUAUAUUUUUACUUGCUAUUGAUCUUCAUGUCUUAGUUCUCCGUCUUUCUAAAUUAUUAGACUUUAUUAUUUGCUAAUGAAAGCAAUAUUUUAUUUAUUCCCGGAAGAGUAAUGUUUUAAUUAGAGUACUGAUAAAGUUUAUUGAUUAUUUAAUUUUCGUGAGAUAAAAUAUGUAGUUUGAUUUUUUUAAAAGAAAUUCUAUUUCUUUUUAUUGUAUGAUUUUGAUAUUUUUUUAAUUUUUUACAAAACUCUAUUUCUAUUUACUUGUUUGAAAGUGUAACGACCCAACCAGUCAUUUUGGGAAUUAGCGUCCCGUUCGAUUUUCGGAUGAUUCGGAAUCAAUUUGGAAGAACAAUUCCGUUUUAAAAGUUUAAGUGAAAAGAGUUGACCGAAAUUUGACUUUUUUGUAAAUGACCCCGGAAUGGUGUUUCGAUAAUUUAAAUAGUUUCGUAUGGUAAUUUUGGACUUAGGUACAUGUCCGGAUUUGGAUUUGGAGGUCCGUAGGUUGAUUUGAUGCAUUUUGGCAAAAAUUUGAAAAUUAAAGUUUUGGAAGGUUGAGAUGUUUGAUCGAGAGUUAACUUUGAUGAUAUCGGGUCCAAAUUUUGGUUCCGGGAAUUGGAAUAGCUUCUUUAUGUCAUUUGGGACUUGUGUGCAAAAUUUGGGUUCAUUCCGAGUUGAUUUGUUAUGUUUCGACACAAGUUAUAGAAUUUAAAAUUUUCAUAAAUUUAUAAGCUCGAUUCAAGGUGCGAUUUAUAGUUUCGAUGUUGUUUGAUAUGAUUUGAGGCCUCGAGUAGGUCCGUGCUAUGGUAUAGGACUUAUUGAUAUAUUCAGACGGGGUACUGAGUGGCUCGGAUGGAUUUCGGACGAGGUUCAGAUCGUUUGGAGCAUGUUGAGUGAGGCUGGUUUGGGCAGAGUUGGUGUGGUCGAACCUGCGGACCACUGGGUGCAGGUGCGUGGACGCUUCUGUGUAAUGCUGGUUGCUUCUGCGAAGUUGUGUAAGCCUUAUUGAUUCGCUUCUGCGGAUGGGGGACCGCAGGUGCGAUGCCAAAUAUGCGGAAGGUCGAUUAGAGAUGCGAAAAUAGAGUCCAAGGUGAUCGUUCGCUUCUGCGGUGUUGUGGUCGCUUCUGCGAUAUUGCAGAUGCAAAAAAUAUCUCGCAGGUGCACAAACUGGGCAGGCAAGUGAAGGCCGCAAAUGCGAUGUUUUGGCUCACAUAAGCGAGAUGCGAAAUUUUGUCCGCAAAUGCGGAAAUGGCUCGGCGGAAUGCUUAAGUUCGAGGGGUCGACAUUUUUAUUCAUUUUUGGAGUUUUAGACCUCGGUUUUCGGCGAUUCUUAAGGGGUUUUUUACGAGUUUGAUUUGGGUAAGUGUUCUUUAUCUGAAAUUGAUUAUAUUUCAUGAUUCCAUACUCAUUUAUAUCAUUUAAUUAGUGAAUUGAAUGGAAGAAAAAUGGAAAAUUUGUAAAAAUCUUUUAAAAUGUAAAAUUAGGAUUUGAAGGGCGAUUCGACAUCAAAAUUUAAUAAUUUUAGUAUGGUAUGACUCGUAUCGGAAUGGAUGUUUGGGUUAAGUAAAUUUUAUCGGGUUCUGAGGUGCGGACCUGGGGUUGACUUUUGAGUUGACUCUUAGUUUUAAUUAAAAGACCAAAGUUUUAUUAUCCGAAAUUGGUUCCUAUGAGUUUUAAUUAUGUUAUGAAAUUAUUUUGGCUAGAUUUGAGCCGUCCGGAGGUUGUUUCAAACGAGAAGGCUAUUCAGAGUAUCAGACUAGCUUCGUUGAGGUAAGUAUCUUGCCUAAUUUUGUGGUGGGGAACUACCCCCUUAGGAAUUGAGUCAUUUAUACUAUUUGUGUAAUGUGAAAGCCGUGUACGCGAGGUGACGAGUACAUACUCAGACUUAUAUGUGGAGAUUCUAUCGGUUUAAACUCUAAGGCAUCCUUAUGUAUUCAAUUAGAAGUUGUUGGCACUUGUUAUAUCCUUUAUUUGCCAUGUCCACUAUUACAUGGUUUAUUUGAAUUUGCAGUUACUUGUCACAUUCUUUACUUGCCGAGGGUCUCAUAUAUGCUUAUUUGGAAUUAUUACCACUUUAACCAUUUCGUGAAUUCUUUUAUUGUCGAGUUGCCAUUUCAUGGAGAUACUUUAUUCUUAAACAAUUAAUUUGAAAUUGAAGUUAUCGAGAGGCAUAAAUCUAUUUUUUCUGAAGUUGUGAUUAAAUGAGAUGUUGUUCCUUGCUGAGUUACUUUUUCAUUCAUGUUGUUGUUAUUGAGAUUCUAUACACGUUAUGUUGAGCCGUGGGCUAUUUGGUGUGAAAUUAGUGAUACUGUGGAAUCCUUUGAAAGGUUGUGGCCUACGGACACUUGUGAUACGAGUUGAUUAUGUUGUGUUGUUGUGACGAUAGCACAUGUGAAUUGUAGUAUGGUUUGAUUGUUAUUUUGCAGAGUAUAAGGGUGGCAUUUCACUGAUAUUGAAUGUACGGAGUGAUACGAGUGGCUAUUGUGUUAUUGUCCGGGCAGAGUGAUAAGGAUGGCUAUUGGUCGGAGUGAUAAGGGUGGCUAUUAUACGGAGUGAUAAGGGUGGUUGUUGAUAUUGUCAGGGCAGAGUGAUACGGGUGGCUAUAAGAGAGAUAAGGGUGGCAAUGUCAGGGAUGAUGUGUGAUGAUGCGGGGGUAUUGUGUUGGUGAUUUUGUGUGGUUUUGUGAUCUUCCUUGUAUUUGUUAUAGACUUUACGUAAAUUGUCUUGUUGUUUCGGUGAACUAUUUAAUAUCCUUUAUAUUUCUUGUUGAUGUAGGUUGCAGUAGUACACUUGCACAAGCAUACAUAAUAGUAUUAUACUUACACUAGCUCAUGAGUACAAAACUUGACAUUUAUUGAUUCUGUCCAUGUAUUCUAGUAUUAUCCGUUUCAUAUUGCUAUUGAGCAUGUGAUUAUGUCGGAAAAAUUGUGAUUGUGAGCCUGUGAAUUAUGCCGGGCAGAUUGUGAUGGUGAGCCUGUGACCAUGCUGGGUGGAUUGUGAUUUUGGCACGUGAGUUUUUCGUGCGGGUUAUGAUUGGAGAAGUGGGCACGAGGUGCCAUGAGUAUAGGAUGAAUAUGUUAUUGGCACAUGAGUUGUCCGUGCGGUUGUGAUUCGAGAUGUGAGCAGAGGUGCCGUGAGUAUAUGAUGGUGGGUUGAGAUCCGUGAUUUGUGACUAGGAGACGAGGUACCACGGAGUGACCUUGUUGUGAAAGCUUGUGUUAGACAACUUGAUAAAUUGUUUGUUCUUUGUGUUCUUCAUUUGGCUUUAAAUGAUGUUUUCCCGGUAUUCAUAUUCCUUUACUGCAUAUAUACACAUGUUGACUUUGUUGCCAUUUACUGAUUUCUACUUUCCAUUAUUAGCGUUAUACUACUAUACUGCACAUGUUAUUUUAUCUAGUAAGUGUCUUGACUGUACCUCGUCACUACUCCACCGAGGUUAGUCUUGAUACUUGCUGGGUUUCGACCGUGGUAUACUCAUACUAUACUUCUGCAUAUUUUUGUGCAGAGCCAAGUAUUGGAGAUAUCGGAACCAGGCAGAGUUAGCAUAUUGGUCGUGAGGAUUCAAGGUAGAGUUGUUGGGCUGUCGCAGUCCCUUGGAGUUCUUUCCUUUCUUGUAUUGUUAGCCUGUAUUUGAACAGUAUUGUAUUUCGAUUCCUGAUAUCUUUUCAUGUAUUCAGUUAGAGUUCGUGACUCUGUAUUAUCAAUCUUGGGAGGUUAUUAUGAUUAUUUUCGAUUUUGUUUCAGUACUUGUAUUAAACUCUGUUUCAAAUUUAAAAAAAAACCUUAAAUUGUUUCUAUAACCGGCUUACCUAGGUUUAGAGAUUAGGUGCCAUCACGAUAUUUUACGAAGGAAAAUUGGGGUCGUGAUAGAAAGUUAAGACGUUAUAUUGAUUUGUAUCCCAUUAGUAACUUUAACACUAUUGCACUAUUUGAUCUUGUAAAAGCUUGCUAGAUAUUUUAUUUUCUUUGAGUAUUUUAAUCUUUUUAAUUUUCUUUAAUUUUUAAUGUACUUUAUAUAUUUUUUGUGUUAUUAUGAUAAUUUAUUAAUUUUUAAAUUAAAAAAUUUAAAGACCCAUAUCUCGAGGUUUAUGCCUCAUGCCAUAUUAAAUAAAAUGCCUCCGCGUCACGUCCCCGCAUCUUAAAAUGCUGGUAUUAACCAAGUGAUACGAAAUAAAAUUCUAGUAUUGAUUAGUUAAAUUCUUAUUGUUUCACAUUUUGAUUGUCCCUAGUCCUCCACAUGCUCAUCAAAAAAUAUUUUUUUACCUUUUUUUAGAAUUUGUUUUGAACUAUUCGGCAGAUUCCCAUGCGUUGAGGAAAGAAGAUCAAUAAUAGUUGUCUUCUAUUUUUUUUAUCUUUUGGUGACUCUGUUUAAAUUUGUACGCGGUUUAAAGGAUACGCGAUUUAAUUUAGCAUGAUUAAUUUAAGAAUAAUAAAUAAUUAAAUUAAAGGAAAACAAAAUGAUCAAACCAAACGUGAGGGAACAAUUAAGCUUGGCUUUAAGUUUGAACGCUAAGUUCGGUUCCGAUCGAGCCCUCGAGAUGCGCUCGGUUGCAACUAAGGAAGUAAAUAGCUGAAGAAUAUUUUGAACAAUAGCUAGAAGAUAAAAAUAAAUUUUAUUCCUUUGAUACACGUGUCAACAGUGGUUGAAAAAUGAAAAGGUUCUCUCUUUCAUAUAGUUGAAGAGUGUUAAUCCUAGUACAAAUCUAAAUAAGGUAAAAAUCCUUCUCUUAUAGUAAAACAUGAUUCACAAUUAAUAUCGGACGAGAUUCGCGCCGUAAUAUCUGGUUGAUGGCAAAUAUUUCAGCCCCUCAUUCGUCCUCUCUAAUCGUCAUCCCUUUUGCCUCGAUUCUUUGUUUUGCUUGAGCUCAAUUCUUCCUAUUCUUGACCAUGUCCUAUUUUUGGUGCAUCAUUCGUCCCUCUGGGAUCUGAUCUGUGGGAGCCCUCGAUUUUACUCGAGCCUGCGUUGAAUCAUGUUGUCUCUCGUUUCUUCAUCGAAAAAUCGGGAAUAACUUUAUCCCCGAUUUUACCGAUACACAGCCACAAAUUUCAAAAUUCAAGAUUGAAAGUGUAGGUGUAAAAAGAAUUUGAACAUCAGAAGUAUUACAAGUCCAUUUAUCAUGUUCGUGAGCAUAGCUUAAGAAUAAGACAUGAAUGAACAAAAUAAGUUGGGAUGUAUAAGCUUCAACUAUUUCUUAAGAGGAAGAAAAUAUCAUAGAAAAUUUUCUUUUUUGUUCUUUUUAUUUUUAUAUUUUAUUCUUUCCUUUGAACUUUUUAGCCUUUGAGUGAAUAGAAGAGUGAGAGAAUGUCAUCAAGAGAAAGGAAAACUCUAAUUUAAGCCUUUCAUGUAGAAUUGCAUAUCAUUCGAGUAGUCAAAAGUCCCUGCCACCUUGUCACAUAAUCAUUAUUCUUAAAUAAUUUAAUAUGUAUCUAUAUAAAUAAAAAAUAAUAUGUUAAUUCCCCUUUCAAAUUCUACAAGGUCCAACAUGAUUAAUCAGUUGGAGAGAUCCUAUGAUUUACUACUCACUUCUCGGAAGGUAGAUUUAUAGGAACGAUGAGAAGUGACUAAUUGAAUCCGGUUCCUUCCUUCGUACAUCGUAAGCAAGUUGACGAGCCGAAACGUAUCAUCAGUCACUUCGCUCCAACUUCGAACACGUGUAAGUUGCCGGUUGACUAUCCCCGAUAGUUACCGAAUACGAAACGUCACGCAUUCAUUAUUUCUUUCCUAUAAAAGCUCUAGUUUCCUUUUUUUUUACUUUGUUAGUUUUCGAUUUCAAAUCUUCUUGAGUUACCCUCGAAUUUCUAGUUGUUCAUCAAUAUUUCAAAUCUUGAUAAAUUAUUCUCCACAUCUUCUUAUCUUCUUCUCUUAUCUUCAAACCUUUAUACUUUACCUUCAAAUCUUCAGACCAUAUCUUUAAACCUUCAUAUAAACCUUCAAACGUCCAUAUUCCAAAAUCAAGAUAGCUAAAACCUCAAAAUCAGUGCCUCAAAACACUGCUCCUUCACCAUCUACCUUGGUCGCAGGCACCGAGGCCACUGUUCUGGUAGCAGCCCCGGAACUGCCUCUUACAGAAUUUAUCACCGGAGGCUGCUCUAUAGAAAAUGACUUUAAGGUCGAAAAUGCCUCCAAACAAGGAGACCGAGGUGAGGAGGCAUAGAGGUAUGUCUGCUCCAUCACCGAGGAAACGCUCCAAGCGGUCCGGGAGGACUACAAAUGGGAAGCCAAAAACGUACUCAUCCUCAAUCCCGAUAAGGACAUCACAAUUCACAUGGAAGGAUACUUAAGCAUUUAUACGUAUCGCUGCAUGCUCAGUUCGAUGGACACAGUGGUCCUUGACUUUUGUAAGAGGUAUGAGAUCUGCCUCGGGCAGAUCCACCCGUCUUUUUGGAGGAUCGUGACCCACCCAUCUUCGUCACUUUUCAAACAACAUAGGCGAGCCCCGGUUCACGAUCUACCAUCUGCUCCGCGUUUACAGCCCGCGAAUAUUACGAGCGGGGUUAAUCGAGCUUGCCCGAUGGGAAAGCAUUCUCCCUUCUCCUGCAUCGAUGAGGACAGAGAUCGAGGUUGGCAGGGGAUAUUUGUUUGGAUAAAGACCGAAGACCUCAUUCCCCCCGAGUUCCUAUCGUUCCCCGAGAAAUGUAACUCAAAACGUAAGUUUGUUUCCUCUUAAUUUACUCCUUUGUAUUUACACCUCUUUUCUCAUUACUCAUUUCUUUUUUGAUAUACAGCUGUCGCCCGAGUCCCUAAUUUGGUCCCUCAUUUUAGGGAGUGGGUCGAGGGCAUGCGAACAACUCACCUAUCCCGAACGUGAGUGGCACAAGCUUUCCAAAGGUAAAUGGGAGGCUCGUUCAUAUGGUGAGUGUCCCUCUCCUUCCGGUUGAAUUUUCCUUUUGGGUCAUUUUUAUCUUAUUCUUAAUCUAAACACGUCUUUCCCUUUCACUGGUUUGCCCAGGACCACCAAACUUCGGGAAAUUACCGAGGCCGUGGCCUCGUCCGAAAAAACCCUCCGCUUCACUGUAGUGUACCACCGAAGCUGCUACGAAGAACGAGGAGUAAAUAAAAAGAAGAAAAGGUCCCCUGACUCUUCGGACACUCCUACCGGGGCCAAGAAGAAGAAAAGGGUCGUAGUCAGGGUUAGAAAAAACAACAAGAGGACUUCUAGUUCUCGUGUUCCUGAUUUUGAAGCCCUCUACCGGCUAAAGGACUAUCCUGAGGACGACGACAACAUGGAGUUCGUCACUCACAAGACGAUCGAUAUCGAACUGGAGUUGGCGCCCUCGGAGGGGGAUGCUCGAAAGGCUGAGUCCCCUGUAGCUUGAGGACUCGAAGAAGAUCAAGUAACUUCUGCUUCGCAGGAGGCUCCUCCAGUUUCGAGGGAAACUACUUUGGCAAACACCGGCGUUAUUCACAUUUCGGACUCACUGCUUCAUAUGGAGGCCUUCUUAGAUGAGGCUCGGUCCGCUGCAAAGAAACUGACAGAGGCAUCCUGGGCCAUGGACGAGGCCAUUAAUUCAUUCUUUGAGGGUGUAUAUGUCGGUUUGCUGGAGGACUACUCCGGGCUUGCCAAUCUGGAGAUCCCGAAAAAGGUCGUACAACUGGAACCAGGUGCGCCGAGUUCGAGCCAAAAGCUUGAGAAGUAAUUUCAUGCCCUGAGUGUGGACCUUGAGCAGAAGAAGACGGUCAUGUUCACAGUACCGGCGGAUACUAGCAUGUUGUUCAGGCAAGUCAGAGUGGCCAGCUAUCUUCGUUCCUUGGUUACUGAAUUGGACCAAGUAAAAAUGAAUGAGGUGGAUGUGCCGAGCCUCUUCAAUGAGGACCAACAGGCGCUGAUCAGGGUAUGCCUUCUUCUUUUUGUGUCUUUAUAGAGUUAUUUUUGCCUUAACGACAUUUUAAUUCUCUCUUUAUGUCUCAGGCCUCGGUGCUUCAUCAGGAGAGCUUCCACCGGUCCCGGAUGGAGGUGAUUCACCUCUAGUUCGAGCUCAAGGUCUAAGAGAAGAUAACCCUGAUCGAUUAGCUUAGGUCCGAAAUGGACGAGGUCAAAGCCUCAGUUGAAGAGUUGAAGGUCAAAAUAAAUAUCCUAGCCUCAGAGUGGGAUGCCAUCAAAGAGGACCUAGCAUCGACCAAAGUACAACUCCAGGUGAUAAGAGAAAAAGCCAAUAAAUGGUCUCGGCUAAAUGAGGAGUUUCGAGCAUAACUCAACUAGGCCAUUACAGAACGGGAUUCUCUCGGCCAAGAAUACAUUAUACUGAUGUCCAAAUUGGAGGCAUCUUCGGAUGAGGCCUCUGAAGCUUAGGACAUGAUGGCCCAGUACAAAACGUUGUAGAGGUAACCGAAGCCCAUUUCAUAACGAAGGCCGAAUAUGUGAGGUGGCUAUCUCGGAGAGAGACUCUCGAGGAGAUCCACGCUCGGGGAAUUGACCUGGUGACCAAGAUCGAGGAUGCGAAGAGGCUCGAAGCUGAGGCUAGAGCGAGAUACCAGCUUGAUCGUUCGAGCAGUGAGUCGGGCUCUGACGAAGACUAGGCAAGAAAUGCAUUAGCUUAAUUUUAUUUUUUCUUGUAGCUACAUAUUUUGUAUUUUGGGGUCGUUUCUUAUUGCCUCUGUAAAUACCUUUUGGUAAAUAUAUAUAAAUGUUUUGUCUUCAGCUACACAUUGUCGUCACGACUCCAAUUUCCCUUCGAAGGAUGUCGUGAUGACACCUAAUCUCUAAAACUAGCUAAGCCUAACAAAACAUACAGAAUAUAACUGAAAUGACAAAUAACUCUCAAAUACUCAACAAUUUAACAUAAAGAAACUCUGCAACUCAGUAUAUACAAUUUCCCAAAACUCAGCGAAUACAAGCCACAAGCUCUAAUAGUAGUAAUGAGUAAUCCUAUAUAUCAAUAUCUAUAAAAGGAUAAGGAAAAUAGAAUAGUCUAGGUAGAGGGGGACUCUGAGGCCUGCGGAUGCUGACAGGUAUAACUUGAAGUCUCCGAAGCUGAGCUCUCACUAGUACCUGGGCUGGUAGGGGGUACUUGGAUCUGCACAAAAAGAUGUACAGAAGCGUAGCCUGAGUACACCACAACGCUACCUAGUAAGUGCCAAGCCUAACCUCGGUAAAGUAGUGACGAGGUCAGGUCAAGUCCCUACUGGAAAAAAUAAGAAAAAAUGUACAAAUGUAUGACAGUGUAGUAAUGAUAGUAAUUAAAUUGAAACGGUAAAUAUCAUGUCAAAGUUAGCUACACGGAACUAUAGUAAAUAAUGCAAUACGGAGAAAAUAAGGAAUGAUAUGCUAAGGAAACCAAAACAACCAAAGACAAGUGUAGCAAUAGAGAAAUACCAACAAGAGUCACUACCGAGGUACCGCCUCGUAGUCUCAACUCACAAGAAUAGUUCACAAUAUUUCCUUAUAUCACCGCGAAAGCCUUGCAUUUAGUUUUGAAAAUUAUUUUCCUGAAAUAGCAUCCCGCAUUUUAGCUCACCUUAUCACACCGUAUGGCUUCUAGUAGUUCCCCUAUGAGCUACGCAUAUCAAGCCCGCCUUAUCUCACCGCAUGCGUUUCAACCCCAAAACCUUAUACCAUCGCAGGCAUAUCAAUAUCACGACGUUUAGAAAAAUUGUACCUCAGUGCCCAAUAUCACAACUUGCCAAAGAAUGCAACAAUAAUAGUGUUUUUAUAAUAAAGAGCCCACGACUCAACCACAAUGUACACAAGAGUCUCAACAAUAACAACCGAAAGUGAAUAACUCAAUAGAAUAGUGUUUCACAACUUAACACUUUGUCGCAAUGUAAAUCACGACCUUUAUAACUCAAUACCAGUUUCAUCAACAAGAUAUCCCAAGAAUAACAACUUCAAAUAAAGAAUCCAUGGUUAAAUAAUGAAUAAGGAAUAGAGAAAACAACAACUUCAACUAAACAUGUAGGGCAAUUAAAAAAUAAGAGAUAAGACAAAUAGAGCAUGUAAAGAUAGACUAGAAAUGAUGGCUAUAACAUGUUAAGGUGACUCAAUUAAGGCAUGAAAGGGAUCUACAUAGCUAAAACCGGUAAAUUUCCAUAUUUAGCCCGUGUACACACUCGUCACCUUGUGUACACGGCUUUCACACAUCGCAGUUAUCACAAACAAUACCAAUCCUAAGGGGUAAUUCUCCCACACAAAGUUAGGCAAGACACUUACCUCGAAACACACUAACUCAAUCCACUAAUAUGCCUUUCACUCGAAUCUAGCCAAAACAAUUUUGUACUUUAUUACGAUCUUUGCAAAGAAGUAAUAAGUCAACUCAAAAAGUCAACUUGGGCCCGCGUCUCAUAACUCGGCCAAAAUUAUAAAAUCCGAACACCCAAUCAAUAACGAGCCCAACCAUAAAAGAAUUACUCAAAUCCGACCUCAAAUCGCCUUUUAAAUCCUCAAAUUUUAGCCUAAGAAGUUUUCACAAUUUUCCCUCAAAAUUCAAACUCAAAUCACUAAUUAAAUGAUGAAAUUAACAAUAGAUUCGUGUAAUUUAACCAAAACCGAGUUAGGAUUUCUUACCCCAAUGCUUUCCUUGAAAAUCUUCUGAAAAUUGCCUCAAACUGAGCUCUCUAGGUCCAAAAAUGGAUUAUGAAAUCGAACCCUCGAAAUUAGGCCUUUUUCUGCCCAACGAUUUCGCUUUUGCUGGCCUUUAGUUGCAUCUGCGACACCGCACCUGCGAAAAAACCAUCGCAGGUGCGGUUUCCACUUAGGCCAUGAUUUUCGGUUUCUGCAGACCAAACGCGCAUCUGCGUAUCCACUUCUGUGGACUAGAACGUGCUUUUGGGCACUCCCUCAUGCGGGCAAGGCCCGCUUCUACGAUAAUAGACCAAGCUAGCCGCGUCUGUAUCUGCGACCACUCAUCCGCACCUGCGUACCCGCAAUUGCAUAAGUCCAAAAUUGUUCCUUAUUCAAUACGUUUCACACCAGGGGCUCCGGGACCCCGUCUGAAUAUAUCAACAAGUUCCAAAACACCUAACAGACCUACUCAAGGCCAAAUAUCACAUCACACAAUAUCGAUUCCACGAAUCGCAACCCAAUUCAAGCCUAUGAAACUCGAAACUUCCGAAUUCAAAAACUAAUGUCGAUUCAUACCAAAAUAACUCUGAUUGAUUUCAAACUUUGCACACAAGUCAUAAAUGACAUGACAGACCUAUUCCAACUUUCGGAAUCGGGAUCCGACCCCAAUAUCAAUAGUGUCAACUCCCGGUCAAACUUUCUAAUCUUCCAAACCUUAAAUUUUCUACUUUUGCCAAUCACGUCGAAACGACCUACAGACCUCCAAAUUAACAUCCGGACACGCUUCUAAGUCUAAAAUCACCAUACGGAGGUAUUGGAACCAUCAAAACUCUAUUUUGGAGUCAUCUACACAAAAGUCAAACUAUGAUCAACUCUUUCAACUUAAAGCUCAAACUUAGGGACUAAGUAUCCCAUUUCACUCUAAAACUCACCCGAACCAAAACCAAAUUCCCCGGCAAGUAACAUAACCAUAAUAUAAUAUAGAGUCGGCAAUAAAUAAGGGAUCAGGGCUAACUUAACCUUCCGAUCCGCAUAACUGUUAUGUUUAGAUUGGGUUGUGCGAAGCCGAUCUUGAAUCAAUUUAGCCUUUUCCAAAGCAUCCUAAACCAAGUCUGUACCCAAUAGCCUAGCCUCACCUGGCUCAAACAAACCCACUGGAGACCGACAUCACCUCUCAUACAAGGCCUCAUACGGAGCCAUCUGAAUGCUUGAAUGGUAGCUUUUGUUUUAGGCAAUCUCCGUAAGCGGCAAGAAUUGAUCCUAGGAACCCCCAAACUACAUCACACGGAGCAUAUUCUUCAAUAUCUGAAUAGUGCGCUCGGACUGUUCAUCCGUCUGAGGGUAAAAUGUUGUACUCAACUCAACCCAUGUGCCUAACUUACACUAUAAUGCUCUCUAGAAUCGCGAUGUAAACUACGUACCCCGGUCAGAGAUGAUGGAUACCGGCACACCAUGAAGUCAGACAAUCUUGCGAAUAUAGACCCGAGCUAGCUGCUCUGAAGAAUAAGUACUCACCACUGGAAUGAAAUGAGAUGACUUGGUCAACCUAUUCACAAUCACCCAUACUCCAUCAAACUUCCUCUAAGUCCGUGGGAGCCCAAAAACAAAAUUCAUAGUAACCCACUCCUAUUUCCACUCUGGAGUUUUUGGACUCUGACGUAAUCCACUUGGCUGUUGAUGCUCAUACUUCACCUGAUGACAAUUCAGGCACCGAGCUACAUACUCCACUAUAUCCUUCUUCAUCAUCCUCCACCAAUAGUGUUGCAUCAAGUCUUGAUAUAUCUUAGUGGCACCCGGAUUAAUGGAUUACCGCAAACUGUGGGCCUCCUGAAGAAUCAACUCACAUAAACCAUCUACAUUAGGCACACAUAGCCUGCCCUGCAUCCGUAACACACCGUCAUCCACAAUAGUGACCUCUUUGGCAUCGCUGUGCUGAACUAUGUCCUUGAGGACAAGCAAAUAGGUGUCGUCAGACUGGCGCUCUCUGAUACGAUCAUAUUAGGAAGACCGAGAGACCACACAAGCCAAAACUUGACUCGGCUCCGAAAUAUCCAAUCAAACAAACUGGUUGGCCAAGGCCUGAACAUCUAAUGCCAAUGGCCUCUCUGCUACCGGUCGAUGUGCUAAAUUACCCAAGCUCUCUGCCUUACGACUCAAGGCAUCGAUCACCACAUUAGCCUUCCCGCGAUGAUACAAAAUGGUGAUAUCAUAGUCCUUAAGAUACUCAAACCAUAUUCGCUGACGCAAGUUAAGAUCCUCCUAUUUGGACAGAUGUUGUAGACUCUAGUGGUCGGUAUAGACUUCACAAGGGACACCGUACAAAUAGUGCCGCCAAAUCUUCAAGGCAUGAACAAUAACUGCUAACUCAAGGUCGUGGAUAGGAUAGUUAUUCUCAUGUACCUUCAUUUUUCUAGACACGUAGGAAAUCACCCUACUGUCUUGCAUCAACACCGCACCGAGACUAACACGCGACGCAUCCUAAUACACAGUGUAAGAACUCGAACCCGUAGGUAACGCCAACACUAGGGUUGUCGUCAAAACAGUCUUGAGCUUUUGAAUGCUCUCCUCACACUCCUCGGUCCACUUGAAUGGAACACCCUUCUGGGUCAAUCUGGUCAUAGAUGCUGCAAUAGAUAAGAAACCCUCUACGAAUAAAUGGUAAUACCUUGCCAAACUAAGAAAACUCCGGAUCUUAGUAGCUGAAGACGGCUCGGGCCAACGUUUCACUACUUCAAUCUUCUUCGGAUCUACCUUGAUCCCCUAACUCGACACUACAUGACCCAAAAACGCCACCGAAUCAAGCCAAAAUUCACACUUUAAAAACUUUGCAUACAACUUCUUUUCUCUCAAGGUUUGGAGCACGGUCCUUAGGUUCUGCUCAUGAUCCUCCCGGCUUCAGGAGUACACCAAGAUGUCGUCAAUAAGCACAAUGACGAAUGAGUCAAUAUAGGGUUGGAAUAUACUAUUCAUCAAGUGCAUGAAUGUCGAUGGGGCGUUGGUCAGCCCAAAUGACAUCAAAAGGAACUCGUAAUGACCAUACUAAGUCCUGAAGGCAGUCUUCAAAAUAUCCGGCUCCCAAAUCUUCAACUGAUGAUAGCCUGAUCGCAAAUCAAUCUUUGAGAACACUCUGGCACCCUGUAGCUGAUCAAAUAGGUCAUCAAUGUAUGGCAAUGAAUAUAUGUUCUUCACUGUAACCUUGUUUAACUGUCGAUAAUCAAUACACAUGCGCAUGGAACCAUCAUUUUUCUUUACAAACAAUACCGGAGCACCCCAAGGUGACAUACUGGGCCGAAUGAAGCCCUUAUCAAGAAACUCUUUCAACUGCUCCUUAAACUCCUUCAACUCUGAUGGGCCAUACGAUAUGGUGGAAUAGAAAUGGGCUGAGUGCCCGAUAACAAAUUAAUACCAAAAUUGAUAUUCCUGACGGGCGGCAUACCUAGAAGAUUCGCCAAAAAUACAUCGGGAUAAUCCCUCACUAUCGAUACUGACUCAACGGUAGGAGUAUCAACAUUGACAUCUCUCAAGAAGGUUAGAUAUGCGUCACACCCCUUCCCAACCAUCUGAUGUGCCUUUAGAAAAGACACCACUCUAGUAGGGAUAUAAUCCAAGGUACCCCUCCACUCGAACCACGAUAAACCUAGCAUAGCCAACGUUACCGUCUUGGCGUGGCAAUCAAGAAUAGUAUGAUAGGGUGAUAACCAGUCCAUGAACAAAAUAAUAUCAAAAUCUACCAUACCGAGCAACAAUAGAUCGACUUUGAUCUCAAAACCACCAAGAAUAACUAAACACGACUGAUACACACGAUCAACAAUAAUGGAAUCUCCCACAGGCGUGGACACAUAGACAGGAAAACUCAAAGAAGUAUGGGAUAUACCCAAAUAUAGAGCAAAGUAAGAUGAUACAUAGGAAUAAGUGGAGGCUGGAUCAAAUAAGACCGAUGCAUCUCUAUGAAAAACCAGAACAAUACCUGUGAUAACUGAGUCGGAUGCAACCGGCUUCGUCCUAGGAGGAAGAGCAUAACAUUUUGCCUAAAUUCCCUCUCUAGGGCGACCUCUACCUGCCUGACCUCCAUCUCUAGCUGGCUGUGUAGGUGGAGUGGUAACUGGUGCGGCAACCACGACCUGAGAAGCUUAAGGGACCUAUGGAAUACGUGGGGCCUGAGUAGUCUAUGGAGGUUCAUCCCUCUUGAGUCUGGGGCAGUCCCUCACCAUAUGAUGAGUGUCACCACAAUCAAAACAAUCCCUCAAAAGAUGUGGCUGUUGGAACUGGCUCGGUCCCGGUCGGUUGAACUGAUCGCUAAAAGCACCCCGUGCAGGAGGUUCACUAGACAAUGGUGGAGAAUAAUGGGAAACCUGAGGCCUGGGAGUAGCUGGAAUAUCGCUGGAAGCUGGAAGUGCUGAAUGUAUAAGAGUGCUUACAUAGCCUCUACCAUGUCGGGCUGCAAUUGGGGCACGAGCACCACUAUAUGUACCAGAAUCGCGAGGCCUCUUGGCCUCUCUCUCAUCUCUCUCCCGGUCCCACAUACCCUCCAAUCUCCUAGUGAUCUCCACUACAUGCUGGUAUGGGAUGUCAAUCUCCAACUUUUGAGCCAUGCUGAAUCUAAUAUUGUGGUUGAACCCCUCGAUAAAUCGAUAAACUCGCUCUCUGACUGUGGAGACUAAAGCUGGUGCAUGUCGGGACAACUCGUUGAACCUGACAACAUACUUUGAUACAGUCAUAGCACCCUGGCGCAACUACUCAAACUCUGCGCGCCAUGCAUCACGAAGGCUCUAGGGAAAAAACUACCUCAUGAACUUCUCUGAGAACUGAGCCCAGGUGAGUGAAGCUACCUCGGCCGGGCUAUCAACUCAUACGCUCGCCUCCACUGAUAAGCCGUUCCCUUAAGCUGGAACGUAGUGAAAGCAGUACGUAGGAUACGGUGGCACUCCUCAAGAAAACCCUAGGCAUCCUCUGAAGCCAAACCCCUGAAAGUAUGAGGGUGGUAUUUCUUGUACCUCUUGAGGCUGAGGUUCUCCCCCCCUCAGAAGUUGCUGCCCUAACAUCGGUCUGAACUGGGAUGACCGGCUCCACUGGUAUGACCUCUGGGACCUGGUCCACUUGGACUCGCUGCUUUGGGGUACGGGCGACGGGAGUUUGUGCUCCUCCCCCGGCCUGAGAUGUGGCAGGAGCAAGUGGAAUCAAGCUCACCUGAGCUAGAGUGCCAAACAUGCUCAAAAACUGGACGAGGGUCUCCUAAAGUGCAGGGGCAGUAAUAGGCAUCUCAGGUGCAUGCCCCCUAACUCGAGCUACUGGUGGCUCCUCUGUAGCAGCUUGGGCAGGUUCUCUGGCUACACCACGUGCUCGUCCUCGGCCUAUGUCCCGACCCAGGCCUCUCAUGGCUCUAGCAAGGGGAGCGAGUGUCUGAUCAUCUGAUCCAGUUGUGCGUUUCCUCACCGUCUAGGAGAGAAUAAAAAGACAGAGAUUUAGAAUUCCGAAGUCAACAAAUUCGCAUGAUAAGGAAUCAAAGAAGUGAAAAUUUCCCUAACAGUUCCAUAGCCUCCCGAAGAUAACUACAAACAUCUCCGUACCGAUCUGCGAGACUCUACUAAACUUGCUUGUGACUCGUAACACCCAUGAACCUAGAGCUCUGAUACCAACUUGUCAUAACCCCAAUUUCCCUCCGUAGGAUAUGGUGAUGGCACUUAGUCUCUAAGACUAGGUAAGCCUAACAAAAUAUGCAGAAUAUUCCUGAAUGUCAAAUAACUCUCAACUCAACAAUUUAAUAUAAAGAAACUCUGCAACUUAGUAUAUACAAUUUUCCAAAACCCGACGAAUACAAGUCACAAGCUCGAAUAGUAGUAUUGACUACUGAGCAAUCCUAUACAUCAAUGUCUAUAAAAGGAUAAGGAAAAUAGAAUAGUCUAGGUAGAGGGGGACUCCGAGGCCUGCGGAUGCGGGAAGUGUACCUUGAAGUCUCCAAAGCCGAGCUCUCUCUAGUACCUGCGCUGGUAGGAGGUACCCAGAUCCGCACAAAAUGAUGUGUAGAAGCAUAGCAUGAGUACACCACAACGGUACCCAGUAAGUGCCAAGCCUAACCUCGGUAGAGUAGUUACCGAGGUCAGGUCAAGGCCUUAAUAGAAUAAAUAAGAAAAAUUGUACAAGUGUAUGGCAGUGUAGUAAUGAUAGUAAUGAAAUUAAAAUAGAAAAUAUCAUAUCAAGGUUAGCUACACGGAACUAAAGCAAAUAGUGCAACACGGAGAAAAUAAGAAAUGAUAUGCUAAGGAAAUCAAAACAACCAAAGACAAGUGCAGCGAUAGAGAAAUACCAACAAGAGUCAUUAUCGACGUACCGCCUCAUAGUCUCAGAUCGCAAGAAUAGUUCACAAUCUUUCCUUAUAUCACCACAGGAGCCUUGCGUUUAGUUUUGAAAAUCAUUUUCCCAAAAUAGCAUCCCGUGUUUUAUCCCUCCUUAUCACACCGCGUGACUUCUAGUAGUUCCCCUACUAGCCACGCGUACCAAGCCUACCUUAUCUCAGCGCAUGCGUUUCAACCCCAAAACCUUAUACCACCACAUGUGUAUCAAUAUCACAACGUAUCCAAAUCGCACCUCAAAUGCCCAAUAUCACAACUUGCCAAAGAAAGCACCAAUAAUAGUGUUUUCACAAUAAAGAGCCCAUGGCUCAACCACAAUGUACACAAGAGUCUCAACAAUAACAACCGGGAGUGAAUAACUUAACAAAAUAGUAUUUCACAACUUAACACUUUGCCUCAAUGUGAAUCAUGGCCUUUAUAACUCAAUACCAGUUUCAUCAACAAGAUAUCCCAAGAAUAACAACUUCAAGUAAAGAAUUCAUGGUUAAAUAAUGAAUAAGGAAUAGAAGAAACACCAACAACUUCAACUAAACAUGUAGGGAAAUUAACAAAUAAGAGAUAAGACAAGUAGAGCAUGUGAAUAUAGACUAGAAAUGAUGACUAUAACAUGUUAAUGUAACUCAAUUAAGGCAUGAAAGGAAUCUAUAUAGCUAAAAUCGUUAAAUUUCCAUAUUUAGCCCGUGCACACACUCAUCACCAUGCGUACACAGUUUUUACACAUCGCAGUUAUCACAAACAAACCCAAUCCUAAGGGGUAAUUUCCCUUACACAACGUUAGGCAAGACACUUACCUCGAAAUAUGCUGACUCAAUCCACUAGUACGCCUUUCCCUCGAUUAUCUAACUCUGAACAACUUGAAUCUAGCCAAAACAACUUCAUACUAUAAAUAUAAACUAUAGGAAAUUAUUUCGAACAAUAAAAUUACGAUCUUUGCAAAGAAGUAAAAAGUCACCUCAAAAGGACAACCCGUGCCCGCAUCUCGAAACCUAACCAAAAUUACAAAGUCCAAACACCCAAUCGAUAAUGAGUCUAACCAUAAAAGAAUUAUUCAAAUCCAACCUCAAAUCACCUUUCAAAUCACCAAAUUUUAGCCUAAGAAGUUUUCGCAAUUUUUCCUCGAAUUUUCAACUCAAAUCACUAAUUAAAUGAUGAAAUUAAUAAUAGAUUCGUGUAAUUUAACCAAAUCCGAGUUAGGAUUUCUUACCCUGAUGCUUUCCUUGAAAAUCUCCUGAAUAAUCGCUACAAACCGAGCUCUCUAGGUCCAAAAAUGGAUUAUGAGAUCAAACCCUCAAAAGUAGGCCUUUUGUGCCCAACGAUUUUGCUUUUGCGGGCCUUUAGUCGCAUCUACGAUGCCGCAUCCGCAGAAAAACCAUCGCAGGUGCGGUUUCCACUUAGGCCAUGACUUUCCGCUUCUGCGGACCAAACACGUAUCUCCGCAUAUGCUUUUGUGGACUAGUAUGCGCUUCUUCGUACUCGCUCCUGCGGGCAAGGUGCGCUUCUGUGAUAAUAGACCAAGCUAUCCCCGCCCGUAUAUGCGACCACUCCUCCGCACCUGUAGACUUGCAGAUGCAGAUAUAUCCUCGCACUUGCGAUUCUAUCUGGGCAAAGCUAGCUUCGCUUCUGUGAUCAGCUCCUCUCUUUUGCGUGUCCGCACCUAUGGCCAAACCCUCUACAAGUGCGAUGACACCAGAACAACAGUGGUUCAGCAAUUGCACAAGUCCAAAAUUAUUCCGGAUUUAAUCCAUUUUACACCCGGGGAACCCGAGACCCCGUCUGAAUAUACCAACAAGUUCGAAAAUACCUAACGGACCUACUCGAGGCCAAAAAUCACAUCCAACAACAUCGAUUCUCUGAAUUGCAACUCAAUUCAAGCCAAUGAAACUAAGAACUUUCGAAUUCCACUUAGGCCAUGACUUUCGGCUUCUGCGGACCAAACGCGCAUCUGCACAUCCACUUCUGUGAACUAGAAUGUGAUUUUGCGCACUCGCUCAUACGGGCAAGGCCUGCUUCUGCGAUAAUAGACCAAGCUAUCCGCGUCUGCAUAUGCGACCACUCCUCCGCACCUGCGGACUCGCAAUUGCAUAAGUCCAAAAUUGUUCCUUAUUCAAUCCGUUUCAUACCCGGGCCCCAGGACCCUGUUCGAAUAUACCAACAAGUUCCAAAACACCUAACAGACAUACUCGAGGCCAAAAAUCACAUCACACAAUAUCGAUUCCAUGAAUCGCAACCCAAUUCAAGCCUAUGAAACUCUAAAUUUCCGAAUUCAAAAACUAAUGUCGAUUCAUACCAAAACAACUCCGAUUGACUUCAAACUUUGCACAAAAGUCAUAAAUGAUAUGACAGACCUAUUCCAACUUCUGGAAUAGGUAUCUGACCCCGAUAUAAUUAAAGUCAACUUCCGGUCAAACUUUCCAAUCUUCCAAACCUUAAAUUUUCUAACUUUCACCAAUUCACGUUGAAACAACCUACGGACCUUCAAAUAAACAUCUGGACACGCUUCUAAGUCUAAAAUCUCCAUACAGAGCUAAUUGAACCAUCAAAACUCCAUUUUGGAGUCGUCUACACAAAAGUCAAACUACGAUAAACUCUUUCAACUUAAAGCUCCAACUUAGGGACUAAGUAUCCCAUUUAACUCCGAAACUCACCCGAACCAAAAUCAAACACCCUCGACAAGCCACAUAACCAUAAUAAAAUAUAGAAGAGGCAAUAAAUAGGGGAUCAGGACUAAAAUACUCAAAACGAUCGGCCAAGUCGUUACAAUUGUGUCCUUUACUUUUUUAUACUUGCUUAUGUUUAAGACUUAGGAUAUAUAACUUGUGUUUUGGACUUCAUAAUAUGCCAUCAAUUCCUUAGCAUAGAAUUUGACAUCGUGUAAACUGUUCAUUCCCCUAAAGCUCGGAUGAGUCCUAGAUUAAAUAAUAAUUCAGAGUUGCUUUGAAUUCGGAGGACUCGAUAAAAGCGAAGUCUUUAGCAAAAUAUUCGAGUAAUUUAACUGGACACAACUAUCCUUUGCCGAAGGUAGCUCUUUUCAUGGCCGUAAUUCGAGACAGAGUAACUUGAUCGGGUCUAAUUUAAUCUUUCAUGGAUUAAAAAUAUGUAAGGACCUUACUUUUUUAUGUACGAACUCAGACGUCUUCGAGCCAUUUAUAUGUUAUGACCAACGCUCUAAAGGAUCCGUCCCUUAUGUUGGUCGUGGCCUUUUGUGUUCGAGCCCUGCCUUGUAGGAUCGGUGCCUUCAGAAUUUAGUAGCCUGAAUUUCCUGAUCUUAUUGUAAGUUAAUGACAAUAUUUCUUGUGCAAAUAUGAACCGAUAAAAUAUAGAAGGUAAAUUUCUUUUAUUACUUCGAAUGUAGUGCAAGUAAUUAAAGGUAAAAAAGCUACCUUUCAUGGCGAAAAUGAGCUAUGCGGGUACGGUUCAUUUGACCGUUUGACCCUUAGGACUUCGGUUCUUGACUCAAGGUGUGAUGGCCCCCAGAGAUUGGAAUUUGAGGGCUCGAAUACUAUUGAUCUGAUAUGGACAAUCCGUAAUUUACGGUCUUUGACCGGUCUUCAAAACUAGGGCGACACGCUUACUGGUGCCUCAUUAUAAAUCUUGUCGUAAAACCCACGUCGGGAAAAUAUCGGUCUAUAAAAAAAAGAGUGUAACACCUGCUUUCAGACCUAAUCCUCAUAUUUGACUUCUAUUCAGUACCUGCACUGGUUAGUUCAAAUCGUAAUAAACCACAAAGAAGUUUAUGUAUUCAUACCUUAGCAGUAAUAUCGCUUUAAGUGCGCCACAUUCCAAUUGUUGGGUAGUUGUACACCAUUUCCUGACUCGAGCCGGUAUGAGCCUUUCCCAAUUAUACCGGUGACUCAUUAUGGUCCCUCCUAGUUUGGGCCCAGUUUCCCAUCAUUCGGGUUCUUGGUAUGCAAUGUGACCUUCCUCAACACUAAAUCCCCGACUUGGAAAUGUCGAAGGUUUGCCUUUCGAUUGUAAUAUCUUCCUAUUCGCUAUUUUUGGGCUACUAACCGGACUAGGGCGGCUUCUCACCUUUUGUCUGUUAAAUUUAAUCUUGCGGCCAUAACCUCGUCGUUUUACGUCUCCGUAGCAUAUGGGAACCUUAAGAUCGGUUCCCCUACCUUUACGGAAAUCAAAGCAUCUACACUGUAGACCAGAGAGAACAGUGUUUCACCAGUACCUAGAGCAAAACUUCUUUCCAUUUUCAUUUUGAGUCAGUCAAUCUCUUCUUUUGGUUCUACAUUAUAAUUUUGUUUGUUGACUCCUAUUGACCAUUUGCACUUGGGUGGUAAGGUGUCGAUAGAAUGUUUUUGAUUUUGUUAUCUUCGAAGAACUUGUUGACCUUCCCGCCGAUGAACUACCUCUCGUUGUCACAUGUGAUCUUGGCUGGUAUCCCAAACCGGCAUAUUAUAUGAUCCUAUAUGAUGUUGAUGACCUCCUUUUUCCUAACUGUCUCAAAAGACUGUGCUUCAACCCACCUGGAGAAGUAAUCGGUCAUAAGUAAGAUGUACUGGGCUUUGUCGGGUGCCCAUGGCAAAGGACCCAUGAUGUCCAUUCCCCAUUUCAUGAACGACCAAAGGUAAAGGACCGGAUGAAGCAUUUCCCCCCUAUUGGUAGAUCAUUGGGGCAUGCCUUUGAAAUUCGUCACACUUUUUAAUAAAGUCUUUCGCAUCAUUUUCUAUCUCGUUCCAGUAAUAAUCGGCCCUGAUCAAUUUUCAAACCAAUGACUCUGAUCCUGAAUGGUUUCCCCAAGUACCUUCAUGGACUUUCCUCAUUACGUAAUUGGUCUCCCCGACACUCAAGCAACUCGCUAACAUUCCAAAGAAUGAUCUUUGGUGUAGUUUUCCUCCAACCAAACUAAACCUGACAGCCUUAGUUCAUAGGGCCCUCGAUUCUUUCAGAUUCAAUGGCAAUUUCCCUUUUUGAAGGUAGCCUAUAUAUUUGUUUCUCCAAUCCCAAGUCAAGAUUGUUGAGUUUACCUCAGUAUGACCUUCCUCUAUCACCGAAUUCAUCAAUUGCACCACCGCUCCGGAAUUAAAUUCAUCGAAAUCGACUGACGACUCUAGAUUUGCCAAUGCAUCGACCUCGUUAUUCUGAUCUCGGGGUACAUGUUGUAGUGUCCACUCCUUAAACUGAUAUAAUCUCACUUGCAAUGUAUUCAAGUAUCUCCACAUCCGGUCUUCUUUUACUUCAAAUGUCUCAUUGACUUGGUUAACAACGAGGAGGGAGUCGCACUUGGCUUCGAUCACCUCAACCCUAGGCUCUUAGCCAGUUCUAGACCUGCAAUCAAAGCCUCAUAUUCAACUUCAUUGUUAGUCAGUUUCAUAGUUCUAAUAUAGUGCUUUAUUACAUUACCCGUGGGUGAUUAAAAUACGAUUCCUAACCCGAACCCUUUUGUGUUAGAAGCACCAUCUGUGAAUAGGGUCCAGACCCACAAACUAGUCCCUGAGUCAAGCAAUAAUUCUUUUUUGGCCUCAAAGAUCAAGGCUGGUGUGAAAUCUCUACAACCCAUUUUGUUAUUCUAUCCGAAAGCUCGGGUUUAUGCAUAACAUUCCUUAGCGGGUACGAGGUCAAGACACAUAUAGAGUGACAUUGAAAGUACGAUUUUAGUUUCCUAGAUGCACUUAAUAAGGCAAGCACAAAUUUCUCUAAGUACGGAUACUUCGUUUCGGCAUAACCCAAGGUUCUACUAAUAUAAUAGAUAUGAAAUUGCGUACCUUCUUCUUCCCUGACCAGGACGCCACUUAGUACCAAGUAAAGGUAUAACUGCUCGUUUGCCUUCGGAGUGAGCAACAAAAGAGGACUUGAUAAGUAUCAUUUGAGUUCCCCUAAAGCAUGCUGACAUUUCAGGGUCCAAGAGAAGUCGUUCCUUUUCUUUUGUAAUGAGAAGAAUCAAUGGCUCUUAUCCGAUGACCUAGAAAUAAAUCAGCCCAAUGCGGCUAUCCCAUCAGUCAGUCUCUAUAUCGCUUUGACGUUGUCAACCAUGGUGAUAUCUUCUAUGGCCUUUAUUUUAUCUGGGUUGAUCUCUAUCCCUCGGUUAGAUACAAUGAACCGAGGAACUUGCCUGAGCUGACUCCGAAGGCACACUUCUCCGGGUUCAACUUCAUGUUGUAUUUCCUUGGUAUGUCAAAGGUUUCCUGAAACUUUUUCAAAUGGGCUUUUGCUCGCAGGGACUUAACUAAGAUAUCGUCAAAAUAAACCUCCAUUGAUUUCCCUAUUUGUUCUUCGAGCAUUCGGUUAACUAGGCAUUGAUACAUGACACCGGCAUUUUUUAAUCUAAACGGCAUCAUGUUAUAACAAUAAGUGCCAAAUUUAGUUAUGAAAGAAGUCUUCUCUUGGUCUCCCGGGUCCAUCCAUAUUUGGUUAUACCCAGAAUAAGCAUCGAGAAAACUCAAAAUCUCGUGCCCAACCAUUGCAUUGAUCAUUCGGUCGAUGUUAGUUAAAGGAAAUGAAUCCUUCGGGCAUGCCUUAUUUAAGUCCUUAUAAUCUACACACAUUCUAAGCUUGUUUUCUUUUUUAGGUACGACUACUACGUUAGCUAGCCAAUCCGGGUAUGUAACCUCCCGAAUGGAACCUAUUUUUAAGAGUUUAGAUACCUCGUCUAUAAAGAAUGCGUGCUUGAUAUCAGACUAUGGCCUCCUCUUUUGUUUGACCAGGUGAAAUUUCGGAUCCAAGCUUAAUUUGUGAGUUGUCACCUCCAGCGAGAUCCCUGUCAUAUCUAAGUGGGACCAGGCAAAACAAUCGGCAUUAGAUUUAAGGAAAUCAAUGAUUUUUUCCUGAGCUCGGGGGUUAAUCCCGUGCCCACAUAUACCUUUCUAUUUGGUAGGUGCUCGAUCAGUACAACUUGUUCCAGUUCCUCGAUUGUCGUCUUGGAGGCAUCGGUAUCAUCAGGUUCUAUGAAUUAUCGCGAGAUCCCAAAGACAUCUUCCUCGUUCAUCGGUUGUUCCUCCUGUUUCUCAGGCCCGGUCGGGGUCGGGUUCAGUGAUUGCUAUUUGGUUCCUUUCUCUUUGACCAGCCUUUAACGUUUUGAUGUCGUGAUUGCGGGAACCGAGAUCACUUCAUCAAUAGUGAACAUCUCAUUUGCUAUCAGUUGUUCCUCGUAGACCAAUUUGAUUCCGCUUGAGAUUGGAAACUUCCACGCCUGAUGCAAGGUUGAUGGUAUCGCCCUCAUGCGGUGUACCCAUGCCCUCCCCAAUAAGGCAUUGUACCUCAUGUCCCCCUUGAUUACAUAAAAUUUUGUUUCCUGGGUGGUCCCGGCUGUGUUGACCGAUAGGGUUAUUUCACCCUUCGUUGUCUCGCAUGCCAUUUUGAACCUAUUCAAUACCCGACCUACCGGUACGGUUUGGUCCAAUAACCCCAGUUGUUCUACGACUCUCCAUCGGAUGAUGUUGGCGGAGCUACUUGGGUCAAUUAAAACACGCCUAACUCAAGAUUUAUUAAUGUGUACGGAUAUUACCAGUGCAUAGUUGUGAGGUUGAAUGAUGCCCUCGGCGUGUCGCUGAAAGAGAUGGAGCCCUCCAAAACAUAGUCCCGAGUUCAUUUUUCUCUUGUGAUAGAAACUUUGGUGCGUUUUAUCAUUGGCCCUUUUAGGACAUCUACUCCUCCGAUGAUCAUAUUGAUCACAUGUUGAGGUUCUUCCUGCUCAAUUGGUUUGUUGGCAUCCAUUUUUUUGAAAUGAUUUUUUACUCUCUCACUUAGGAAUGCUCGAAGAUUCCCAUUGUUGAAUAGACGAGCCACUUCUUCCCUUUACUGUCUACAAUCCUUGGUCCUGUGAUUGUGAGCACUGUGAUAUUUACAUAUCAAGUUGUGAUCCCUCUGUGCGGGAUCGAACUGGAGUGGCCUUGGCCAUUUGGUAUCCAUGAUGUGGCCAAUGGCUGACACUAUACUUUUCACAUUGACAUUAAAGUUAUAUUCUGAUAGUCUCGGGGCUUCUCUGCCCCCGAGUGAUCUGUCAAAACCGUUUCUACUCACCAAACCUCGGUUGAUUGGACCUUGGUCGCUUCUCCUAUCGUUCCUGGUUGGGUGGUGAUUGGGUCUGUUUCCCUUUCUAUCCUAGCUGUAUGGAUCGUAUCGAUCUCGGGGUGGCCUCAGUUCAUGAUCAAAAAUUCGUUUAGACUUGUCGUUCGCUCUGUUGGGGUAAACAAACCCUAAGAGAGCUCCCAGCUGGUCAUCCUCAACUCUGAUCUUUAUCUGGUACCUGUUGCGAACAUUGGCCCAGUUAACCGCAGGGUACUCUACCAAGUUUUGCUUCAACUGUUGAGAAGCUACCAAACUUCGGGGGUUGCCUUGGAUAAAUUCCUGAACAGCCCAAUCAUCUGCAAUCGAGGACAGGCCCAUCCGUUCUAUCUGGAACCUUGACACGAACUCCCUAAGGAUCUCAUUGUCCUUUUUAUGGACUUUGAACAAGCCUGAUUCCUCAUUUCAACUUUGAUAACGCCGACAUAGGAUUUAACAAUGGCAUCUGCAAGCAUAGAAAAUGAAUCAAAUAAAUUUGGAGGUAAGUUUUGGUGCCAUAAUAUCUCUCCCUUGGAUAAGAUUUCCCCAAAUUUCUUCUGCAACACUGACUCCAUCUCGUCAUACAUUGCCUUUUAUUGCACAUGUGUAGGAGGUCAUGUGCUUGUUUGGAUCCGUGGGUCCGUUAUAUUUGAGAAUAUCGUGCGUUCGGAACCUUUUCGGAAUUGGCUUCGGUGCCUCACUCGGGGGAAAAGGUUUCUGAAUGAACUUUUUGUCAUCUGGUCCUUUCAAUAUUGGAGGCGCUCUCGGGAUCUGAUCGACCCUUGAAUUGUAAGUCUCCAUCUUCUUGUCAUUUGCCUCUAUCUUCCUUUCACCGGACUCCACCUAUUUUGUUAGUGCUUCGGGAAUUUUCAUCACCUUAGAAGUUUUCUCGGGUCCGAACCCAUCUGGUUCUGUCACAGUCCGUUCUUCCCUCCGGCAUAUUCUCGAGCCGAUGGCCGAGGUGCCCCGUGAAUGCUAUUUUUGGGAUUAUAUGGUAGGUUGAUAUUGAUAGUAUCUUGUGAAUUGGGGUCGACUGGUUCUAUAAUUGAAACGCCAUUAGGGUCAACAAGGGGUGCCAUUGCUUGGUACCACGUUAUUAUUUUCACUGUGGCGGACUGACUCGGAAUCAACAUUCAAGUGAGCAGACUGAGAAUUUGACAUUUUGAAUAGACCUGAAAUCAAACUUCAAAGAGCAAGUGUAAAAUAGGAUGUGUUACAAUGAUUUGUAUUAAAUCACCACUAUUAUCCUUAGCUCCACGGUGUGUGUCAAACUAUUUAAUCUAAAAAUGAGUAAGAAUUAAAUUUGUACGCGAUUUAAAGGAUACAUGAUUUAAUUUAACACGAAUGAUCUAAGAACAAUAAAUAAUUAAAUUAAAUUGAAUCAAAAUGAUCAAACCAAAUGUGAGGAAACAAUUAAGGCUAGCUUUAAGUUUGAAAGCUAAGACCGAUUCUGAUCGAGCUCUCGAGAUGAACUUGGUUACAAUUAAGGAAGUGAAUAGCAGAAGAACACUUUGAACAAUAGCUAGAUGAUAAAAAUAAACUUUAUUCCUUUUAUAUGCAUGCCAACAGUGGUUGAAAAAUGAAAAGGUCCUCCCCUUUAUAUAGUACGGGAGUUUCAAUCCUAGUACAAGUCUGAAUAAGUUAAAAAUCCUUCUAUUCUAGUAAAACAUGAUCCGCAAUUGAUAGCGAGCGAGAUUGGCACUGUAAUAACUGGUUGAUGGCGGAUAUUUUAGCCCCUCGUUCGUGCUCUCUAAUUGUCCUUCCUAUUAUCCUCGAUUCUUUAUUUUACUUGAGCACGAUUCUUCACAUGCAUGUCCGAUUUUUGGUGCAUCAUUCAUCCACUGGGAUCUGAUAUUUGAGAGCCCUUGGCUUUACUCGAGCAUGCGUCGAACUAUGUUGUUUCUCAUUUCAUCAUCGGGAAAUUGUGGAUACCUCUAUCACCGAUUUUACCCGUACAUAGACUAGAAUUUCAAAAUUCAAGAUUGAAAGUGUAGGUGUAAAAAGGAUUUGAACAUCUGAAGUAUUACAAGUCCAUCUAUCAUGUUCGUGAACCUAGUUUAAGAACAAGAAAUGAAUGAAUAAAAUAAGUCGAGACGUAUAAGCUUGAACUAUUUCUUAAGAGGAAGAAAAGAUCAUAUAAUUUUUUUUUGUUCUUUUUUAUUUUUAUUUUUUAUCUUUCCUUUGAACUUUUUAGAUUUUGAGUGAAUAGAAGAGUGAGAGAAUGUCACCUAGAGAAAAGAAAACUCUAAUUUAAGCCUUUCAUGUAGAAUUGCCUAUCAUUCGAGUAGUCAUAGUCUCAGACACCUUUUCAUGUAACCAUUAUUCUGAAAUAAUUUAAUCUGUAUCUAUAUAAAUUAAAAACAAUAUGUUAAUUCCCCUUUCAAAUUAUACAAGGUUCAACAUGAUUAAUCGGUUGGAACUUAUUUGAAUGGGAUCCUAUGAUUUACUACUCUCUUCUCGGAGGAAAGAUUUAUAGGAAUGAUGAGAAGUGACUAAUUGGCCCAGGCUCCUUCCUUCGUACGUACUAAGCAAGUUGACGAGCCGAAACAUCUCAUCGAUCACGUCGCUCUAACUUCGGAAAUGUGUCAGCCGGCGAUUGACCAUCCCCGAUAGUUACAGAAUGCGAAACGUGAAUGUAUGUCUGCCCCCUAGUAAACGUGAAUGUAUAACUUCGGUUCUUGACUCAAGAUGUGAUGGCCCCCUAGUAAUCGAAGCUAAAUUUUGAGGGCUCGAAUACUAUUGAUCUAAUACGGGCAAUCCUCAAUCUCCGGUCUUAGACCGGUCUUCAAAACUAGGAUAGCACGUUUACUGUUGCCUCAUUAAAAAUCUUAUCAUAAAACCCACUUCGAAAAAUAACCAGUCCAAGGAAAAAGAGUGCAGCACGUGCUUUCACACUUAAUCCUUAGAUUUGACUUCUAUUCAAUACCUGCACGGGUUAGUUCAAAGCGUAAUAAACUACAAAGAAGUAUACAUGUCCAUACCUUAGUAGUAGUACCGCUUUAAGUGUGCCACAUUCCAGUUGUUGGGUAGUUGUACACUAUUUCUGUACUCGAGCCGGAUGAGCCUUUCCCGGUUAUACCGGUGAUUCUGUACGGUCCCUCCCAGUUCGGACCUAGUUUCCCAUCAUUCAAGUUUUUGGUAUGCAGUGUGACCUUCCUCAAUACCAAGUUCCCGACUUGGAAGUGUCGAAGGUUUGCUCUUCGGCAAUAAUAUCUUCCUAUUCAUUGUUUUUGGGUUGCUAACCUGAUUAGGGCCAUUUCUCGCCUUACGUCUACUAAAUUUAAGCUUGUGGUCAUGGCCUCGUCGUUUGACGUCUCCGUAGCAUAUUUGAACCUUAAGAUUGGAUCUCCUACCUCUACCGGAAUCAAAUCUUCUGCACCGUAAAGUAGAGAGAACGACCUUUCACCGGUACUUGACUUCGAAGUUGUUCGAUAUGCCCAUAGGACCUCGGGCAAAAUUUCUUUCUAUUUUCAUUUUGAGUCUGUCAAUCUCUUCUUCAGGUUCUGCAGUAUAGUUUUGUUUUUUGACUCUGAUUGACCGUUCACACUUGGGUGGUAAGGUGUUGAUAGAAUCUUUUUGAUUUUGUGUUCUUCGAAGAACUUGUUGACCUUGACGCCGAUGAACUGCCUCCCGAACCGGCAUAUUAUACGAUCCCAGAUGAAGUCGAUGGCCUCAGUUUCCCUAACUUUCUCGAACGCCUGUGCUUCAAACCACUUGGAGAAGUAAUCGGUCAUAAGUAAGAUGUACUGGGCUUUGUCGGAUGCCCACUACAAUGGACCCACGAUGUCUAUUCCCCAUUUCAUGAACGGCCAAGGGGAAAGGACCAGGUGAAGCAUCUCCCCGGUUGAUAGAUCAUCGGGGCAUGCCUUUGACAUUCGUCACACUUUUGAACAAAGUCUUUCGUAUCCCUUUCUAUAUCAUUCAAGUAAUAAUCGGCCCUGAUCAUUUUUUGAACCAAUGACUUCGCUCCCGAAUAAGUACCCUCGUAGACUUUGCUCAUCACAUAAUCGGUCUCCCCGGGACCCAAGCACUACACUAACGGUCCGAAGAAUGAUCUAUGGUAUAGUUUUCCUCCAACCAAGCUAAACCCGACAACCUUAGUUCGUAGGGCCCUUGAUUCUUUGGGAUCUGUUGGAAAUUUCCCUUUAUCAAGGUAGUCUAUGUAUUUAUUUCUCCAAUCCCAAAUCAAGCUUGUUGAGCUGACCUCGGCGUGACCUUCCUCUAUCACCAAGUUCAUCAAUUGUUUUUUGGUUUGAGGAAAUUAGGGAGAUUAGACUAUUGACUACAUUAAAACAUAUUUUGUCUGUUUACAAAGUUGGGCUAUUAGUCGGAUCACUCUUUCCACAAAGUUUUUAGUAUCUAAAUUGCAGGGUGCAUUUCUAUAUAUAUAACUGUGUCAAAAUUCUAGAUGCUCUAAACUAUAGAGACUCAUGAUCCUCCUUCCCCCUCAUUUUCCUGGUAAUGAAACUAUGACGGUGGAUAAUCAACAAGGUUUUGGUAGGUUGAAUAAAAUUUCUCCAUCUUUAAUUAGAGGUUUUGAGUUCGAGUCCUGGAAAUAAACAUAACAUAUUUUCCCUUUAAUGGCUCUUACAUGAUCCAAAUUUAGAUUAGUCCAGCCCCAAUGCAGAUUCGUAGACACCGGUACCAGAAAAAAGAUUGGCAAGAGUAUAUUGUAGCAGAACUUCCAUCUUGAGUCUUGACUGCAUUGUUUCUCUCAACUCAUGAACUUAGGCCAGGUUACUGAACGAGUUGUGACUAAUCGAGAUUUGUAACAACAUGUAGUUGAAUUGAAUAUUUUUGCAGUAUCAGAACCAAGCAUGACUAGCUUUAACACAACAAAAUUUACUAGACUAACAAAAGUUAAUUAAAAAUAACUUUUAAAGGUUGUUAGCAUAACCAACAGAAGAUCGAAAUAUCCGUGACCGGUCGGAUAUUUCGGCGGGAAUCUCGACGCAUAUCGGUAAGAAACCGGCAAUCAACUAAUCAAGAGAUUUUUACCUUUUAUAGAAUUAUACCUAAAGUAGGACUCCUCUACUAUAAAAGGUGGGUCUCAUAAUUCAUUGAAGACAUUAUAACACGUAUCCCAAAGCAAUACAUUAUUAUUAUUUCUCUAUAAGCUCUUGUUCUUCAUUAUCCUGACACCGAUUGAAGGGUACCUGGCUCGAGGGUGACUAACCUUCCAAGGCUGAUCUUAUUCAUUUCGUGUGGUUUGCAUUUACUUUAUCAUUAUUUAUUUCAAUUGCGAUCUAAUUUAUCAUUUUGUAUUAAGUUAGUCCACGUAUCCUUAAAACCAUUUAGGGGUCGUUUGGUAUGAGGUAUAAGUAGAUAUAGUGCUGGUAUAAAAUUUUAAUACCACCUUAAUACUUUGUUUGGUUAGCAAACCUGGUAUAAGUUAUCCCGCGAUUAAAAUUAGUACCGGGAUAACUUAUACCUUGUAGGGAGUGGGGCAAUUAGUGCCGGGAUAACUUAUAACUUCUUCUUAGAAAUUAUGCAAUUAUCAUUUUUUAUAUAACAUACCAAACAGUGGAUAAAAAAUAAUACCAGGAUAACUAAUCUCAGCAUAACUAAUCCCAGCAUAACUUAUCCCAGCAUAACUUAUCCUAGCAUAAGCCGUAUUCAAACUAAACGACCCCUUAUAAAUUCAAUUGUUAUCCGAUUUUGAGGGUAAAUAGUUUGGCGCCCAUCGUGGGGCUAAGGAUAAUAGUGGUUAUUUGAUACAAAUCUUCAUAACACACGCUGCUUUACACUUGUUCUUUGAAGUGUCUCUAAUUUCAGGUUAAAAUAUAAAAUGUCAAACUCUCAAUCAGCAGCACCCAUACAUGUUGACAAUGAGUCCGGUCACCAUGGUAAAAAUAACAACGUAGCGCCUGGUAAGGAUAUAUCGCUCGUUGAUCCCAUCGGAAUUUCGGCUGCGGACCAGUUGACACUAAUUCACACACGGCUAUCGACACAAACCUGCAUAUCGACCCCGAGAAUAGUGUCUGCGGUGGAGCCCGACCGGCAACUCAAAAUACACAAACACUGGAGGGGACAGGAUCAGUUUAUGGGUGAUCUUCAAAAUGUUGCAGGCUCAAAAUACAAAAAUACUGGAGGGGACAGGGAUCCCACCGGGGAUAACCACUCACAAACUAAGCUUGGAUCCAAAGUUCCAUCGGGUCAAGCAGAAGAGGAGAUCCCAGUCCCAGGUCAAACAUGCUUUCCUCAAGGACGAGGUAUCUAAACUCCUUAAAAUAGGGUCCAUUCGGGAGGUUAAAUACCCGAAUUGGUUAGCAAAUAUAGUAGUAGUCCCUAAAAAAGGGAACAAAUUAAGAAUGUGUGUAGACUAUAAGGAUUUGAAUAAGACAUGUCCCAAGUACUCUUUCCCUUUGCCCAACAUUGAUCGCAUGAUCGACGCCACGGCCGGCCACGAUAUCUUCAGUUUUCUCGAUGCCUACUCCGGGUACAACCAAAUACGGAUAAACCCGGGUGAUCGGGAAAAAACCUCCUUCAUUACUAAAUACGGCACAUACUGCUAUAACGUGAUUCCAUUCGGGUUAAAAAAUGCCGGUGCCACUUACCAACGCCUAGUAAACUGGAUAUUCGAGGAACAAGUAGGAAAAUCAAUGGAGGUUUACAUUGAUGAUAUGUUGGUUAAAUCCCUGCGAGCAGAGGACCAUUUAAAACAUUUGUAGGAAACCUUCAGCAUAUUGAAAAAAUACAAUAUGAAGCUGAACCCGGAGAAAUAUGCGUUUGGAGUUGGGUCAGGUAAAUUCCUCGGAUUCAUGGUAUCCAACCGGGGAAUCGAGAUCAACCCCGACAAGAUCAAAGCCAUUGAAUAUAUCACGAUUGUGGACAACGUGAAGGCCGUGCAAAGAUUAACUGGGCGCAUAGCCACCCUGGGGCGAUUCAUCUCGAGGUCCUCCGACAAGAGCCACCGGUUCUUCACACUAUUGAAGAAGAAGAAUAAAUUCUCAUGGACCCCGGAGUGCCAACGGCCCUUGGAGGAACUCAAGCUGUAUCUAUCGAGCCCACCGCUGCUUCACACACCGAAGACAGACGAACAACUAUACUUGUAUUUGGCAGUAUUGGAGAUAGUAGUACGUGGAGUCCUGGUUUGGGAAGAGCAAAGUACGCAAUUUCCAAUUUACUAUGUUAGCAGGACCCUAGGUGAGGCCGAAACUAGGUACCCUCACCUAGAAAAGUUAGCGCUUGCUUUGCUAAGCACCUCAAGAAAGCUAAAACCAUACUUCCAGUGUCACCCCAUAUGUGUCGUGACUACUUGCCCAUUGAGGAAUGUCAUGCAUAAGCCCGAGCUCUCGGGUCGGUUGGCCAAAUGGGCCGUUGAAAUCAGUGGGUACGAUAUUGAAUAUCGACCCCAGACUGCCAUUAAAUCCCAAAUUUUGGCAAACUUUGUGGACGACUUUACGCCGACCCUAAUACCCGAGGUCGAAAGAGAGUUAUUGGUCAACUGAGGAACCUCCUCGGGGAUAUGGACCAUCUUUACGGAUGUCGCCUCGAACGUAAAAGAUGCCUCGAACGUAAAAAGGUCUGGACUUGGCAUCGUAUUGAAACCACCAACAAGAAAUGUAGUUAGACAAUCUAUUAGGAUUGUGAAAUUGACUAAUAACGAGGCCGAAUAUAAGGCCAUGAUUGCAGGUCUUGAACUAGCCAAAAGCUUGGGGACAGAGGUGAUCAAAGCCAAGUACGACUCUCUCCUUGUGGUAAACCAAGUUAAUGGGACAUUCGAGGUCAGAGAAGAACGAAUGCAAAGGUAUCUGGAUAAGUUGUAGGUAACAUUACAUCGGUUCAAAGAAUGGACUUUGCAACACGUACCUCAGGAUCAAAGCAGUGAGGCCGAUGCCCUUGCUAACUUAGGGUCAUUGGUCGAGGACGAUAAGUUCAACUCGGGGGGAGUAGUAUAACUUAUGAGAUCGGUAGUAGAAGAAGGCCAUGCCGAGAUUAACUCGACAAGACUAACUUGGGACUGGAGAAAUAAAUAUAUAGAAUAUCUGAAGACCGGAAAACUGCCCUCGGAUACAAAAGAAUCAAGGGCCCUACGUACAAAGGCAGUCCGGUUUAGCCUGUCCGAAGACGGAACCCUGUUUAGAAUAACAUUCGAUGGCCCACUCGCGAUAUGUCUAGGACCAGGGGAUACCGAGUACGUUUUGAGGGAAAUCCACGAAGGCACAUAUGGAAAUCAUUCUAGCGCCGAAUCAUUGGUUCGUAAAGUGAUCAAAGUUGGCUACUACUGGAUCGAUAUGGAAAAGGACGCGAAGGAGUUCGUACGAAAAUGUGAUGAAUGUCAAAGACACGCUCCGAUGAUUCAUCAGCCCGGGGAGCUGCUGCAUUCAGUUUUCUCACCAUGGUUGUUCAUGAAGUGGGGAAUGGAUAUCGUUGGUCCCCUUUCAUGGGGACCUGGUAAGGCUCAAUUUAUAUUGUUUAUGACUGACUAUUUUUCUAAGUUGAUGGAAACCCAGGAAUAUGAAAAGGUUAGGGUGAAGGAAGUCAUCGAUUUCAUUUGGGACCACAUCAUAUGCCGAUUCGGAAUGCCGGCCGAGAUCGUGUGCGACAAUGGGAAAGAAUUCAUCGGCAGCAAAGUUAGCAAGUUUCUCGAAGACCAUAAGAUCAAAAGGAUCCUAUCAAUACCCUACCACCCUAGUGGUAAUAGAUAAGCAGAAUCGACCAACAAAACCAUACUCCAAAACCUCAAGAAGAGGUUGACCGAUGCCAAAGGAAAAUGGAAGGAAAUCCUUCCCAAAAUCUUAUAGGUAUACCGUACGACCUCGAUGUUCAGUACUGGGGCCACCCCAUUCUCACUGGUUUACCGCACCGAAGCUCUAAUACCGGUCAAAGAACCAAGUCUCAGGUUUGAUAUGCAACCAAGGAAUCGAACGACGAGGCUAUGAACACGAGCCUAGAUCUAUUAGAUGAACGACGCGAAGCAACCCUUGUCCAGUUGGCCGCCCAAAAACACCGGAUCGAGAGAUAUUACAAUCGAAGGGCCAACUUUUGACACUUUAAUAUUGGGGACUUGGUGUUAAGGAAGGUCACGCUAAAUACCCGGAACCAAAACGAAGGGAAGUUGGGACCAAAUUGGGAAGGCCCUUAUCAUAUUAUUGAGAUCACUGGUAAAGGAUCGUAAAAACUUGGAACAAUGAACGUUGAGCAACUAUCGAACAACUAGAACAUAUCUCACCUGAAGCAAUACUACUAUUAUGGUACGACCUCGUUCAUUUCCUUUUAUUUAUUUGCAUUCCGAACUAACACUUGGAGGAAAUCAUCAAAGUAUGAUACAAUCUUUAAGCCUGAAAGCACGUGUUGCACUCUUUUUUCCUUCAACCGGUUUUAUCCCAAAUGGGUUUUCCUGCAAGGUUUUUAACGAGGCAACAGUAAAUCAUGAUAACUUAGAAUUGAGGGUCGGUUACAAACCAGUAUCGAUGAUCACGACAACCGUAUUUGAGGCCUCUCGACGCUCGGCCCCGAACACUGGGGGCAUCACCCUCAGAUAACAACUUUAGCAAGGAAAGAAACUUUAUAUAGAAUGGUCUCGGCUCAAUCAAUAGGAUUUACUGUAAGGGCAAACGGUUAAAUAAACCGUGCCCGCAUAGACUAAUCCAUCCCUGGCACAAAACUUGUAUAUAUGUGUAACUAUUAUGCACAAGAAUAUAAAGAAGUUUCUACCUUGCGGAUAAAUAUCUUGUCCCUUAAGAAUUUAUCUUUUUUUAUUUUCCCCUUAAGGAAUUCCUUACAUUCGAUCCCCUAAAGGUAUCGAGCCCAAGGGCCGCCUUUAUCCGGGUUCAAACGAUCACUCCCACUCGGGGCUGCCGUCCAAAAACAAACUCAGACGGCUCGGGCUAUCGGAGCCCGGGGGCACGAGACCUAUUAGGCAGCGCCUGAACCUUAAAGGCUACGGCCAUCCCUAUUUAAGGAAUGUUAUCUUAGGCAAGCCCGAAUAACUCGGGGUAACAAUCCCACCGGGCAACACCAGAACUAAAGGCUAAGGCCAUAUUAAACUGCUCGGAGUUGUCCGAGACCCAUAACAAAAAACCAGGCCUUCAAAAUUUCAUAACCGGUUGUAAAGUCUACCUUCGGCAAACUAUAAUCUAAAAAAUCAUAAGGACUUUUGGGAAAAGGUUUCUGGUCAUACCGAACCCCCACGAUGCGUUAAACAAAAUUAUAUCAAAGGCAAGGCCUAUUCGAACCUCUAAACAUGACCUAACUAUUUUAUGCUAAGGUAUUUCGAUCUUUGCAAACAUAAAGAAUAAAGCAAAAGAAAACAAAAUUCUUAAACUGUCGAAGGGAAAAACAAGCCUUGUAUAUUAUAUACAGUCUUUACAAAGGCCAAAUGGCCUUAACAAAAAAUACCAAAGUACACAAGUACGAAAAACAAAAAAGCAAAAAGUUUCUACAAAGGCGUCUAAAUAGCCUGGUUUUCUCCACCCCCGGGUCCAUCAGAACCCUCAGAAUCUUCUUCUUCUUCUACGGGGUAGGCCAACUUCUUGGCCUUAGCCUCGAGUCCCUUAGCGGUUUCUAUCUUGGCCGAUAUAUCGAAACCCCGAGCAUGAAUCUCCUCGAGGGCCUCUCUUCGCGACUGCCAUUUCUCAUAAUCAACAAUGUCCUUCAAACUCUACUGAGCCGCCUCAGCAUCUACUUUAUAUUGGGCCACCAUCUUGUCGGAAUCGGCUUUAACCGCCACAGCCGCCGACUUGGCCGUUUCAAGCUCCUUGGCCAUAAUUUCUCGCUCAGAGGCGGUCGAGAUUAACUGAGACUGGAGCUCUUCAACCUUUUUGGCCUGCACCUCGAACUUUUCUUUUGCCGCUCGAAGCUGGGCCUCAGCCUCAGCCAGCUGCGCCCGAGCAAUCUCCUUUUCCCAGGCCAGGCAAUCCAUCCUGCCCCUCCAUUCGUUGGUCUCGGCCUUGACAACAUCCAUCUCAGCUCGAAGUUGAUUAACCCGAUUGAUUUUUUAUUGGACCUGUGAAUUUCGACCGUUAGUCACCAAGUCUAGUUCAUCUUCACUAACCUCAAAGACUUUGACCUCUUCCACUAGAACCCAGGGUGUUUGUCGAUCGGUACGGUACGGUAUUUAGACAUUUCAGUUCGGUAUUUUUGGUAUUUGGCUUCUUAAAAUGCAAUUCCAAUACCGUCCCUAAUUAAAUUCGGUAUGGUUUAUUUUUUCUCCUUUCGAUUUCGAUUUAUUCGGUUUAAAUACUAACUAGUGCAUAGAGUCAUAGACUGUAAUAUUCAAAAUUAAAGUACUCAAAAGUACAAAACUAGAAACAUUUGUUGAUAAAAGUUUUGUCCAAAACUAGCAAAUAUCAACCUAGAGAGAGAAAACUAUACAUAAAAGAAUAAAUUUGUUCAUUAGAAAUAUUUUGUUACUUGCUUAGAGUUAAUUGAUAAACUUAGAGAAUAAAGGAAAGUAAAAUUUUAGAUUUUUAAAUUUAUGUUAUAAUUAAUAUGUGUAUUGUGUAAUAUAAUAUAUAUUUCGAUACGGUAUCGGUAUUUCGGUAUUUCAUUUUAAAAUACCAAAUACCAUACCUAAUACCAAUAUUUUUUAAAACUUAAACCAAUUAGCAUACUGAAUACCAAAAUAUCGAAUACCAAAUACCAAAAUUUUCGGUUUUGGUACGGUAAUUCGCUAUUUACCAAAUUAUGCACAACCCUAAGUCCAGAAUGGCAUGUUCUUUCUGAGCCGCAUCCAACUUGGCCCGAAGACUCUUGGCCUCUUCCUCGCAUUGCUUAUUGACAAGUUUGUACAUAUCUCUCUUCUCGAUAAGCUCUUUGGCUUCGGCCACGAGGAGACUCAGCUCUUUUCGAUAUCGGAGGAAGGUCUCAUGGUGAAGCACUGAGGCAUGCGAAUACAAGGAAAAAUAUUGAUAUCAUUAAGUAACCAAAGCUGGAAAAUGAAAAGGUUUGGUAACACCUUACCCGAUUCAAAGCCUGAUCUGCUUCAUUAAACAAGCAUGGAGAUUCCACCUCGUUCAUCUUUGCCCGGUCUUCUUCAGUCACUAGGCACCGGAGGUAACUAGCUACCCUAACAAGCGUGGAAAGGACCCGGGCGUCCUCCGGAACAGAGACCAUGAUCGACCGAUUCCGACCAGGAUCGGCACUCGAGGCAGGAAUCGGUUGACCAAUCUCGGGCUCGAGCUAGACCCACCUAUCCCCGAGGGCGGACUUCUUCUUGGUACUUCUAAAUCACCCAAUUCGGUGACAUCCUCCGUCGCAAUAGAGUCCACACCAUCAAAAAAGCUUUGGAGGGGAUCGUUCACUCCUUGAACCCCCUCAUUUGAACGUUCCUUCGUCGCUUGAGCUUCACCGAACAUUGAGUCCGUGAACGAAGGUGAUCCAGUUAUAUCAAUGACACCAGGUGGAGCAGAACCGGCAUCUUGAGGGUUCUCGACCCUCACUUAUGCUUCGACCUCUUGAGUUUGGAUGAAUUGGCCUAUAUCUUCCUCCCUUUCGGUUGAUGCCCGUUCUUCAGGGACCGAUGGCUCCCGGGCCACUAAAAUUACAUCCUCUUCAGACUCGUCCCUGAGCCGGUAGAGGGAGUCUGAAUCAAGUAUUCGAGAGCUGGAGAUUUCUUUUGACUUGCGGAUCAGCUUCCUCCUUGGUUUCUUUUUCUCCGAGCUCGGAGCCCUUUUCUCGUCUUCUCUUCACCCUAUUUUGGAGCAGGGGACUCAGCGGGGAAAUCAUCACUACCGGAUGGGGGCCUCAUUUGGACAUCCUUGGGUAAACCUACAAAAAGAAAUAAAACAAAUAAGGACUUUAUCAUGCAAAAGUGAAACAAAAUAUUGCUCAUGAAAGAGAUCUCACCGUGCGAACAGGCCUCUCAUCAGCCCUUUGAAAGCUCGCACCACGAGUGCUCGGAAUAAGGCCUUUGUGAUAUGAUGCCCUCGACCCGCUGCUUGAGUCGAGGAACUGCGUUCGUGAUCCGAGCGAUAGCUGCACCAUCAUAGAACUCCGAUAAGAAGGAAGGAAAAGGGAGGGAAAAUAGGAAGUUAAAAUAGUACACCUGAUGGUUUGGGAUGAAGACGGAACAUAAUUUCUAAUAAAAAGAACUAAAAUGACCGAAAUAUAAGUGCCUGAAAAUAUUAAGAUUGCUAAGGUAUGAGAGCAGAAGGUUUGAAUGUAAAGUUUGAACGAGAAAGUGAGGGGUAUUUAUAGUUUUCAAUGACAGUUCGCAUCUAGGAAUGGCCGACCAGCAACUGGCAAAUAUUUAAUGCCAUAAAGACUUGACUGACGAGACGUUUUGACUGUUUUUUUGUUUAUGUCGUGUGGUGUCGAAGAAAGAAUCGAGAGCUCAUGUCAUUUGUCACCGUCUACUCUCCGAAAAAUGAGGGGACUAUCUGUAAACGGUCAAAAUUGAGCUCGACGACGACAUGGUAGGUUAGGCUCGAAAUAUGACAACCAAAGACUGAAGAUCGACCCCGAGUCCCACCGAGCUAGAAGUCGAGGUCAGAAUGCCUGCCUUAGAGAACAUUGAGUCCGUAAUUCAGGAGUCGACCUUAGCCCCGAUCGAGCUCGAAGAAAAAUUGUUAACAUAACCAACAGAAGACCAAAAUAUCCAUGUCCGGUCAGAUAUUUCGGCGAGAAUCUCGGCACGUAUCACUAAGGAACCGACAAUCAGCUAAUCAAGGUAAUUUUUACCUUUUAUAGAAUUUUACCUAAAGUAGGACUCCUCUACUAUAUAGGGGGGUUGAUAAUUCAUUGAAGACAAUGUAACACGCAUCCCAAAGUAAUACAUUAUUAUUAUUUCUCUUUAAGCUCUUGCUCUUCUGUAUCCUGACACCCAUUAAAGCGUACCUGGCUCGAGGAUGGCUGACCUUCCAAGGCUGAUCCUAUUCAAUUCAUAUGGUUUGUAUUUACUUUGUCAUUAUUUAUUUCAAUUUUGAUCUAAUUUAUUUUUUUGUAUCAAUGUAACGACCUGGUCAGUCGUUUUGAGUAUUACAGCCUCGUUCCCCCAUUUACUGCUCAAUUCGUGCUUUGCAGUUGUUAUGUGUCUUACCGGGGUAAUUGGUUCGAGUUCGGUGAGGUUUUGGAAUGAAUUGAGACACUUAAUCUCAAGGAUGAAAGCUUAAGUUAAAAUAGUGGACCGAAUGUUGGCAUAUGUGUAAACGACUCCAGAAUUGAGUUUUGAUGAUUCCAAUAGCUUCAUAUGGGGAUUUUUGAGUUAGGAGUGUGUACGAAAAUUAUUUGAAAGCCCGUAGUUAAAUUAGAUUUGAAAUGCCGAAAAUAGAAAGUUUAAGUUUGAAAGUUUGACCGGGGAGUUGACUUUUUGAUAUCGGGGUCGGAAUCCAGUUUUGAAAAUUUGAAUAGGUCUGUUAUGUCAAUUAUGACUUGUGUGCAAAUUUCAGGUCAACCGGACUUGAUUUGAUAGGUUUCGGCAUCGAAUGUAGAGGUUGGAAUUUCUUAGUUUCAUUAAACUUGAAUUGGGGUAUGAUUCGUGAUUUUAGCGUUGUUUGAUGUGAUUUGAGGUUUCGACUAAGUUCGUAUGAUAUUUUAGGACUUGCUAUUAUGUUUGGUUGAGGUCCAGGGGGCCUCGGGUGAGUUUCAGAUGGUUAACGGAUCAAAAUUUGGACUUAGAGAAAAUCUGAGAACUCUGCCUUCUGGUGCAAUCGCACAUAUGGACAUUUUCUCGCAAGUGCAAACUCGCAGAAGCGAGUUGUCCAUUGCAGAUGCGGCCAGGCGUGGGCUGGGGCUGUGAUCGCAGAAGCGGGCAGGUGGACCGCAGAAGCGGGUCGCACCUGCGGGAGUUUGAUCGCAGAAGCACAAGGGCGCUUGGUGAGGCAGCUUCGCAGAAGCGGACAGCUCCUCGCAGAAGCGGACUACAUUCCAUAAAAGGGUGAUUAGCCGCAGAAGCGGCUUAGUGAGCCGCAGAAGCAAAAGCAUUGGGCAGAGGGGUCCCGACAGUUUUGUCAUUUUGGACCUUUCAAGCACGGUUUAGGGUAAUUGUUCGAGGGAUUUUACAGAAAAACUUGAGGUAAGUCACUUGUGAUCAUUGUUAGUGAAUAAUAUUAAAUUAUCAUCGAGUAUUUCGACUAGGUUACGUGUUUUGAGGUGAAAUUCGAGGAUUUGGACCUAGGGAUUUCAUAAUAAGAAUUUAAGAUUUGGAGGUCGAGUUGAUGUAAGAAUUUAUUAAAUUUGGUAUGAUUGGACUCGUGGUUGAAUGAGCGUUCAUAUUUUGUAACUUUUGUCGGGUUCCGAGACGUGGGCCCCACUGUCGAUUUUUCGAGCGGAGUUUGGAAUUUUUAUAAAUUAUUAAAUUGCAAGCAUUGGAGUAUAUUUUGAUUAAUUUGCACAUUGUUUGACUAGUUUCGAAUCGUUUGGCUAGGAAUUGAGGAGAUGGGAAGGCGUUCAGAGGUUGAUACGCGCGGAAAGGAAUUUUCGGAGUAUUAUUUAGCUUGCUCGGCAGCAGAUUCGGCUUGUUCGAGGUAAGUAACUCUUCUAAACUUAGAGCUGAGGGUAUGAAACCAUGAUUAUACGUGUUAUGUGAUUUGUUUGGAGGUGACGCACAUGCUAGGUGACGGGCGUGUGGGUGUGCACCGUAGAAAUUGGGACUCAGUCGAUUCCGUAGAGCUAUAUAGUCAAUUAACUUGUAUUUUUUCAUGUAUUUUUAUGUUUUAGAGAAAUUGAGCUGUGAUCCAUGUUAGAAACCAUGUCUAGGCUACAUACUUAUUCUGUUGGGACCUACUGAGAUCAUUACUGCUGUUGAGUUAUUUGUUUACAUUGCAAUUUCUUACUAAGUCAUGUUCAUUCGUUUCAUAUCAUAUCUCAGUCUCUGUUGCUAUAUAUUGACACAUCAUAUUAUCAUUUUUAGGCUAGUUUUAUGGACGUGUGGGCCCAAAAAAUUGGAGAGAUUUAUGACUGAGUGAGGCCGAGGGCCUGAUUGUGAGGUUAUUGAUAAUAUAGCACGUGAGUUUUCCGUGCAGUACGUGAGGUCUCCGUGCAGCACGUGAGUUGUCCGUGCGGAUCCAGAUAUUGAUACUAUAGCACAUGAGUUGUCCGUGCGGAUCCAGAUAUUGAUAUUAUAGCAUGUGAGUUGUCCGUGCGGAUUAUAGCGCUUGGGCUGAAGGAGCCCCUCCGAAAUUUGCACACACCCCCAGUGAGCGCAGUUACCUAUUGAGUGCAAGUGUGAGUGUCGAGUAAUUGGGAGGACUUAGUGGAUUGAUACUCUGAGAGUACGCAUAUGGUUGUUCACUAUGUUGUACUGCAUUGACAAGCAUACUUGACAUACAAACAUAGAAACGCAUUUUUUCUCAUGUUGUACGGUAUCACGUCAUUCAUGAAUUUUCAUACACAUUGACAUGUAGGCAUAGAGAUGUACUUUCCUCAUGCCAUUUGAUAAUGAAGCAUUUACCUGUCGAAAAGUUUCAGAAGAAAAAUCAAGAUUUUACAAACUUACUCAUAUUUUGGUAUUUUCGGUAAAAGAUUUAGGUUUUCGCUUUUAUACUUGAAAAGCAUGUCUAUUUUCUGGAACUGUGAACGAGCUGAACAUUUUAUUUCUGAUUUAUUUGCUGUACCACUUUUGUUAUAUUGUUAUGAGCUGUUGUUGGCUAUUGGUGUUGGACUUUGACAUAUGUUCCAGCUCGUCACUACUUUCAAUUUAAGGUUAGGUUUGUAACUUAUUGAGUGAGUACAUGGGGUCGGUUGUACUCAUACUACACUUCUGCAACUUACGUGCAGAUGUUGGAUGUUGAUGUUUUGCUGUGAUCGACGAAAGAUGGAUUUGAAGAUGUUCCUGAGUUCCAGUUGUAGCUGUCUCCUGUUCAUGGUAGCCUUAGAUUUAUAAAAAAAAUCUGUUUAUGUACAUUUCGAACAGAUGAUGUAUUUGUUUCAUACCAGUUUUGUAAAUUCUAAUCUUUAAAGCUUAUGAUUUGUACUACCAGUCCUUGAAAAGUUCUUGUAUAAAAAUAGUUGUAUUUUCAUUUUUUUCAUAAUAAAUCUCAUUUAAAUUGGUUUGUUGUUAAUUGGCUUACCUGGCGGGUUGGGUUAGGUGCCAUCACGACUAGGUGAAUUUUGGGUCGUGACAAUCAGUUAGUCCACGUAUCCUUAAAACCAUUUACAAAUUCAAUUGUUAUCCGAUUUUGAGGAUAAAUAAAGAUACUGUAUCAUGAUAUAUAUUUUUUUGAAUUCUUGAAAAUAGUCUUUCUAAACCAUGUCGAUUUAACAUCAAAUUAAUUUGACUUUAGGAUUAUAGCACUUCAUGAUCCUGAAAUAAUUGUCAAGUUGGCGUACCUUGAUCCAUAUAUAAGAUGUUUUCUUGCAAAGAUGAACAAUAUGCACGAUUGCUUUUUCACUUCAAAAACUUGUGAAAAACGUGAUUUCAGUCCUCCACCCCUUCCGUCAGGCAAAACAAUGUCACCACGGGCGUACGCAAAAUAUUUUAUAAGCGGUGUAAAAAUUUAUAGAUAAACUGGAAUAUGAUUUUGAUUAUCAUACUUUUGAACAAGAAAUAGCCUGAGUCUGUCAGUUUUGUUGAGUCUUACGUUAGAAAGGGUCUUGAGUUCAAUUCUACUUCAUCAAAAGUUUAGGUUCAAUAUAUACAUACAUAUAUAUAUAUAUAUAAAACUUUGAUUAUCAUACUUUUGAACAAGAAAUAGCCUGAGUCUGUCAGUUUUGUUGAGUCUUAAGUUAGAAAAGGUCCUGAGUUUAAUUCUAUUUCAUCAAAAUAUUUAGGUUCACUAUAUAUAUAUANNNNNNCCUAAACUAUUGAACUUCUAAAAUACCAAACCCAAAACCGAAAACAAAAGGCGAAGUUGGACAGAAUGGACUUAAGGAGAAUGAGCAUUCAUGAUGGGAUGUGAAUUAAUUCAGACAUCUAUGUAACAAUACUGUAUAAGCUACCAAAAUAAGUAAGAACAAACGAGAUUGCUAUAUAAAGAUUUUAACUGUAUUACUGAAUCUAAAGAAUUAGACUAAAAUUAAAAUAAAAAAAAACUAAAAAUUAGUCUAGUCUUAUAAGAAAACUAUUCGCUUUAAAAUCAAGAGAAGGAUUGGGAAUUUUAAAUUAGAGGAUUUUGAAGUACCACAACAACUAAUAUGGCUUUGUAAAUUGAAAUGAAAAUCGAAGCAAGACCAGGACAUUAAAAUUUAAAACCUGUCCUUGGCUUUGUAAAUUGUAAUAUAUGCAUGUCAUUGUGAACUCAUGUUAGUUGUUACCAUUAAAAAUCCAUGUUUUUCACUUUCAAUUUCAUAGUAGUAGUCAUGAGCAGUUAAUAAUUGCAAUAAAAUAACACGGGCCUCAAUUGUGUUAAAAUAGCAUGGGUUAUCAGUUUUCGAAUUGAUAAUUAAAAAAUAGUAAGCGUAUGCAAAGUCAUUGAAAAAUAACAACUAUUUUGUUGCAACACGUAAAAUUCCAGUAUAAUAUACUAGAGAUUGGUGCAUAUAUCUAUGAACUUCCAGCAUAUUAUGCUGGAACUCCAACACACAGAAAAUUCCAGCAUAAUAUACUGGCGAUUGGAGCACCUGUGUAUGAACUUCCAGUAUAUUAUGCUGGACCAGUAUAUUAUGCUGGAACUCCAGUAUAUUAUGCUGGAAGUUCACAAAUAAAAAAUUCGAGCUCCAGUAUAUUAAGCUGGAAUAUUUUUCGAUUUUUUAAACAGUGUUUUCGUUCAGAUUUAUCUUUACAUGAAAAGUGACUAAAUUUCGAUUACUUUUGAAACUGUGGCUAUUUUUCAAUUACCACUUGUAAAUCUGGGUAUUUUUGAAUUUCGCUCAAUUGUGUGAAAACAUGUUUUUGCAUAUACUAAAUUAAAUGUGAUAGAAAAAUUUAAAACCUCACACCACUCACUUUUGUAUCCAAACAAUACUGACGAUAUUAAUCUUAACUCUUAAGUUUGUAUAUAUUUAGUACUUUUACACUUAAUUAUUUCAUUGAUUUAGUGCAAACACGAAUAAGACACGUAAACUUUGGAUCUGAUCUGAUAUAUUACAAUUCCAAACCUCCAUGGAUUAUGAGCAGAUUUGCUGAAUUAUAGCACGGACCGCCAUGUAGGCAAGUAUUGUAGUAGGAGGAAUAAGAUCCAUCUAUACUUAACGAGAGGUUUUUAGUUCAGAGUCCUGAAAUUCUGCCUUUAAUAAACUUUACACGGUACAAAUUCGAAUUAAUCGGACCCCCCUACGACACCGAAGUGAGAAACCCAAAAAGAAAAAAGAAAAAAAAAAGAUUUUUUCCUUCAUAUACAAUAUUUGAAACUUAUUUACUAAAAUUAUUCAUAAUUAGUGUAUUACCCGCCCUAAACAAGUUUUCUUCUCAUUUAUAUACAAUUCAUUAUUAGUGCAUUAAAUUAGGGGAUUUAAUUAUACCAUUUUUUUUUUUGCUCUCCUCCCCUCAAUUUCCCUAUUCUCUGCUGCCUCUCUCCACCCAAAAUUUCCGUAAUUGAGAGCCAAAAUUCAUGGGCAGUGAAGCCACGCUUCAUAUUAAGUUAAUUCCGAACAGACUUAUGCUAUUCUCCAUAUUCCUUUUCAAAGCUUCUGUAAAUAUUCCCAACUUUUCAAAAGUUAAUUCCGGUUUCACCAAGCUCUGAUUCACUUUGCAUAAGAUCGUGCCAUAUCACUUAUUCAUGAUUAGCGUCUCGGUGGACUCAUAAAUCUGCCAAGGAUUCAUGAUUUUCAUUGAACAAAUCAUUUUUUUUGUUUCUUAAAUAUGUUCAGAUUAAUUUAAUGUCAUGGUUCUUGACUAAACAAAUCAGUAAAAAUUACUAGUACGAUAAAAGGAGAAGAUUUUUGUUGACUUUGACAGAGGUUUAGGAAAAGAUCCUAUAUAGUGGGAGGCUUAAGCUCAAAGUAAACUAAUCCCAUAUAUAUUCUUAGGUUGAAGUAAAUUUGACAUGUACAUCAUGAUUUGUUCCAAACAGCUGUGAAGGCAUAGGCACAAUCUCCUUUCAUAUAUAUUUUCCAUGUUGGUUAUCUCAGAGCACCAUUACUAUCAAAUUUAGAUGUACUAAUUCGCUAACAUUUGUAUCUUAUCAAGAAAAUGGUAGAUGAAAUGAGAGUAAGAGAAUAACAAGAAAGGAAAAGAUAUAUAGUAAUUUGAGAUAGGAAGUUCAAAUUCAGAGUCACAAACACAAAAGGUACAAUUCUUCUAACAAUGGGAAGGACCCAAUAAUAGCCAUGUACCCAAUCUGAAUUACAGUGGUGAAUAUCGCAAACAGAACAUAUAUAUCAAUGAUCUCGAGAUUAGUUGGAGUUGAAGCGUAAGUAGAAUAGAGAGAUGAUAAAUUUAUAUGGUACAACAACAUACAAAUUAAAAAAUAAAUUUCGUACAAAUUUGAUAAAAAUUUGAUACAUCUAAAACAUCGAAUAAACUAAAAAUAAAUUUUAUACAGCUGAUUAUAUAAUAUACAACUUAUUUAUAACUUAUCUACAACUUUCAUACAUACUAAAAAUAAAUUUCAUACAACUAAUUAUAUAGUAUACAUUUAUUUACAACUUCCAUACAUUAUUUUUAUCAGUUAAAAUACAUCUACAAUAACAUACAACUUAAAUAUAAUUUUCAUACAAAUUUUAUACAAUAUGUCUUUUGUAUAUAUUUUGUAUAUGAUUUGUAUAUAUUUUGUAAGUGGUGUGUUCUUCUUCCUCUUUGAAAUUCCAAUCAAAACUUUCUCUCUUAAUACAAUUUGGAUAUAUAUGAACAACAUUAUCUAAAAGAUAGUAUUGAUAACUUAGACACAAAUUUUAUACAACGAUUCAUACAUUAUACAAUUAUUUUUUAACUUUCAUACAACAUUCAAAUAAAACAAAUAUAUAACUACAACAUAAUACAAUCUACAUACAAUUAUAAUACACCUUUACUACAAUUUCGUAAGUAUAUUGUAUGUCAUAUGUUCUUCUUCUUCUUCGAGUUUCAAUCUGAAAUUCAGCAAAAAUCAAGUCUAAUUUUCACCAAACACCCUCAAAAUUGAGAUAUAAACUCCAAAUAAUAUUUUUAAUUAUUUGCAAUAACACCCAAUCCAAACAAAUAAUGGUUUUUGAAAACCCAAAUUUGAAUUCAAAGCUUCAAAGCUUUUAAUGAUUGUCAAUGGUGGAGAGUCAAACACCUUCAAACUUUAUUGAUUGACAAUUUCAAUUUGAACACCAAUUGUGCAACAUGAAUGAGAAAAUUGCUAAGUUAUUGAUUGACAAUCUUGAACACCAAUUAUGCAACAUGAAUGAGAGAUAGAAAGACAGAAGAGUUAGAGAGAGAAAGAGAGAGAGCGCAUGAGAGAGAGAGAGAGAGAGAGAGAGAGAGAGAGAGAGAGAGAGAAUAUGGAUGAGAAAUAAUGUAUUUCUUAUUCAAUUCCUAAUAUAAAGGGAUACACAUUUAAAACUAAUUUGUAUAUAAUUGGUAAAUUAUAUUUGGCCAUGUAAUUAAGUUAAAACUUGAUAAGGAAGUGUAAUAAAAUUUCAUAUGUAGUAUAGGAAGGUAAAAAUCUUAAACAGAAUUAUACUCCUUCUGGUCCACAAUAAGUGAUCAUUUUACCUUUGGCACACCCAUUAAGGAAAUACGAACUCCUAGAGAAAAAAAAGAUGUAUUCACUAAAUUAAUAUUUAUUAAUUGUUACCUUGACACAUUUGAAUAUGUAAAUAAGGGUAAAUUUUGAAAAAAUAAAAUUAAUUCCUUCUUGAAUAUGAAAUUGGACACUCAUUUUGGACCAAAAUAAAAGGGCAAAAUGGCCACUUAUUGUAUACUGGAGGGAGUAGUAGGUAUGUAAAAAAUCAAACGAAACAAGCUAGGAUUAUCGAGUUCUCCACUUGUUGAACCAAACAGGAGAUCAUAAACAAGUUACUUUACAAAAUAAAUGUAUUAGUAGAAAAAAGGCAUAACAUGUGGAUUAUCAUCGAGGUGACAGGGCAUGGUACGUGGACUAUCAAUAUAGCGACAAAUGAAAUUCUUAAUUAGACGAGUUAAAGGAUGCGAAAAGGCAUGAGAAGAACACCCACGGGGUUACACUGAGAAAAGAACCGGGCCUAACAGCUGCAAAAGGAGAAACAUGAGCGGAAUAAAUAAAGAGCGUUAAGAGGGGAAGAUGCACGAACCCGUCAUAAAUAAGGAAGGGAAAUCGAUACGGUUACGAGGAAUUCUAAGCCAUAAAUAUUUCCAUUACAAUUGUAUAUGGUAACGGGUAAUCAAGGCAAUUAAUGCCAUAAGUGAGCCCGAAUCAAGUAAGGAAGUCAUUAUAAUUGUAUGUUCCUAUAUAAGGACUGAAACCUCAUUUGAAAGAUCAUCUGAUUGAUUAAUAAAAUUUAUGCAAUUAUUCUUUACUUUAUUCUCAAGAUUUUAUCGCAAUUUUAAGAGUGAUUAUCAAUCUAUUUCAUAUUUUCAUUCCAUAUCAAUUAUUUUAAUUCUUUGCUUUUUAUUCUUCAAAUCACAGGAAAAGUGAAGUAAAUCUUCGUUAUCAGUAACCCGAUUUUUUCUUGAUUUUGACUUUAACUGAGAAAUCUAUUUUUGGGAUAAAUAAAAUUGGUUAUGUUACUGGGAAUUUGAUAAUUUAUGAACUUUUCAAAAUUCAUCUUUAACGAUCAAAUAUGUCAACCUCUAACGAGAACAACCAGCUGAACCAAUAAGGUAGAACUCCACCACAUCACACACCUACGGGAUCUCUUCAGCAAUCCCGCGAGAGUUCACCUGAAAGGUGUGUUUCGCGCACUGAUGAUCAGCAUGGAGACGACCAAACUGUGGAGCAUGAUGCUUUAAAAUAAUUAAUUGCAAAACACGUGAACAGUGCACUGCAUGCUUUUGUUAGAGUAUUACCCGAUGCAGCACAAACUCCUCCGCCAGUUAAUACAACAACUUUGGAGAACCUGCGUUCGGGGCUUGAUAACUCUGGAAGCAGAGAAAUUCCCAAUGAAUCUCGCGAUUGAGGGUCAGGCACACCGAAUAAUUCUAGUUUAUAAAGUUUAGUGUUAACUUUGUAGAAACAACUGAAGGAGCAAAACGAGCAUAUAGAAAAAAUACCUGGCGUACCUCAUGUGAUCAAAGGUGUGGAUAUUGACAAAUAUUCACAACAGUCUUGGACGCCGAGUGCAGCACCCUUGCCAAUUUCCAAAAGGUUUGAAAUGCCUAAUAUUCCCAAAUAUGAUGGAACGACUGACCCUCGAGGUCACGUAACCGCGUUCACUACCGACGUGAAAGUCAAUGAUUUAACCAAAUAGGAGAUCGAAUUAGUUUUGGUUAAAAAGUUUGGCAAAACACUCACAAAAGAAGCGUUAACAUGCUAUUCUCUUUUACCUGAAAAUUCCAUUGAUUCUUUUGCUGAGCUUGCAGAUUCAUUUAUAAAAGCGCAUUCGGGGGCUCAAAAAGUGGAAAAAAGGACGGAAGACAUCUUCAAGGUUAUACAAGGGAGUAUAGAACUACUCAGGGAAUUCGUAGAUAGAUUCCAACGAGAGAGAAUGAUGUUGCCACGAGUACCUGAUAACUGGGCCGCUAUGGAAUUCGCAAGCAACUUAAAUAAGAAAAGUUCGGAAGCCACGAGGAGGUUGAAAGAAAGUUUGCAAGAAUUCCCUGCAAUAACUUGGAACGAUGUGUAUAAUAGAUACAGAACGAAGCUACGGAUAGAAGAAGAUACGGUUGCACAUCCAAGGGUUGAAGAAAGACCAGGUUAGAGACGCUCAAAAUUAGAGAGAAGGUCCGGUAAAAACAGAUACGAGCCAUACAUGAGACCUGCGGGGCGAAACUCUUUAUCUAAACAGAAGGAUGUACGGUUUGAUUCAAGAUCAAGACAAAAAGAUGCGAGUUCUUUAUCCAUAUUCAAAGAGGAACGGGAUGCCCGGAGCAAUGAUUCCAGCACACUAUCAAGGAUAGGGGAUUAUAGCUUUAACAUUAGCACCUCCGAAUUGGUGGCUGUUUUAUGAGGUAUGAGUGAUAAGGUGCGAUGGCCGAAGAAAAUGAGAUCAGAUCCAAACAAAAGAAACCCAGAUUUUUGGUGAGAGUUUCGUAAUGAUCAUGGCCAUAGAACAUUAUAUUGCAGGCUUUUGCAAGGAGAGGUCGAACAUUUAUUGAAGCAAGGCUAUCUUACCGACAUUUUCAGUGAGAAAGGGAGACAAUCGUACAGGAAGAAUAGACAAGAGCCCCAAAACCUCCAUCACCAAAGAGAACAGUCAACGUCAUAAUUGGAGGAGACGAGGUCAAUGGAGUAACAUACACAGCCGCGAAAAAGACAUCAAAAGUUACUGUCACCCAUGGAAAGAGAGUCCGCCAAGUCUUGAAUGCCGACAGUAUAACAUUUGACGAUGAAGACGCGGAUGACUUGAUGAUCCCUCACAACGAUGCACUGGUAAAAUAUCCCUUCUUAUUGAUAUUAAUGUAAAAUGAGUUUUGAUUGAUUGAGGUAGCUCAGUGAACAUUAUUUUACUGAGGGUGGUAAACAAAAUGCAAGCUAAUGAUAAGGUCAUACCAAAAGCACGGUCCUUUGUAUGGGUUUGAUAAUUCAAGCAUUGUUACAAAAGAAGAAAUAGUAUUUGCCACAUUUGCAGAAGGGGCCAUCAAAGAUACAAAUUUCCAGGUGAUUCACGAUAUGGAUGUUGUCCCUUCCACGUUGCAUCAAGUUAUGAAAUUCCCUUCAUAGUGGGGAAUUCGACAAAUCUGUGGAGAUUAACAAGCUUCACGAAGAAUUAACUCGGUGGUGAUUGCAAAUACAAUAGCCAAUGAUGCGGAUGCGAAAUAGCAAUCACAAAAUUCAGUGGAGGACAAUGAUGUCAUACCUCAACUGAAAACACACAAGGGCAGACUGAUGUCGGCUCAAGACCUGAUGUGAUUCAUGAGCCAGAAGAAAAUGAGAACAUUAAAAAAACCUCGGAGGAACUCGAAGCUGUAAUACUAUGUCCAUUGGCCAGACAGAAAAGUGCACAUCAGAGCAAAUUUGAGCCCAGAGAUGAAAGGUAAGUUGAUUGAAUUUUUACUAAAUAACGCAGAUUGCUUUGCUUGGUCGCAUUCAUAUAUGACAAGUAUACCGCCGGAGGUAGUGACUCAUAAGUUGAAUGAGGAUCCAUUACACCCACCUGUCAAACAAAAAAAAGAAAGCGAGGGUCCUUCAAAAAUCAAGUGAUCCAGGAUAAAGUACAAAAGCUUUUGAAAAUUGGUUCAAUACGAGAGGUAAAGUACCCUGACUGGUUAGCUAAUACGUAGUGGUUCCAAAAAAGAAUGGAAAAUGGUGAGUUUGUGUAUAUUAUACUGAUUUAAAUAAGGUUUGUCCUAAAGAUUCAUUUCCUUUACCACAUAUAGAUCAAUUAAUUGAUUCUACUACAGGUCAUGAGCUUUUAAGUUUCUUAGACGCAUAUUCAGGUUAUAUCCAGAUAAAAUUGGACUCUCUAGAUGAGGAAAAAAUUUCAUUUAUCACAGACAAGGGGACAUACUAUUACAAAGUCAUGCCAUUUGGCCUGAAAAAUUCUGGAGCCACAUAUCAGAGAUUGAUGACUAAAAUAUUUCAAGAACACUUGAGAAAAAUCAUGGAAGUCUGCAUAGACGAUAUGCUGGUUAAGUAAACACAAGCGGGGGAUUAUUUUCAACAUUUGUCUGAGACCUUUCAGAUUCUCCGCAAUUACAACAUGAAGUUAAACCCAAAAAAGUGCGCAUUUAGCGUGGCUUCAGGUAAGUUUUUAGGUUUUCUUGUUUCUAACAGAGGUAUUGAAAUAAAUCCCACACAGAUCAAAGCUAUUGAGGAAAUACUAGAUAUACUCACAGGUAAGAAAGAAGUGCAAAGGUUAACAGGCAGGAUAGUAGCUCUAGGAAGCUUUAUAUCAAAGUCAGCAGAAAAAAAUUUUAAAUUCCUUUUAGUAUUGAAAAAGCAAAAUCAGUUCGAAUGGAUUGACGAGUGCCAACAAGCUUUGAAGGACCUAAAGGCGUAUCUAUCGAAUCCACCUCUGUUAUCCAAACCAAAAGACGGAGAGAGAUUGCUCAUUUACCUCGCUGUGUCAGAAGUAGCGGUAAGCGCGAUAUUGGUACGGGAGGAUAAAGGUAAACAAUCUUCAAUUUAUUAUGUUAUUAAAUAUUUACUAGAUGCUGAGACACGGUAUCCCCACCUUGAAAAACUUUAUUUAGCUUUAGUUAUGGCACCAAGAAAGUUACGACCUUACCUUCAGUGCCAUCCUAUUUCUGUUAUAACUGCUUUCCCACUAAGGAACAUACUCCAUAAACAGGAAUUAUCAGGUAGAUUAGCUAAAUGGGCAAUAGAACUCCGUGAGUAUAAUAUCAUAUACCAGCCUAGAACUAUAAUAAAAUUGUAGGUGUUAGAAUAUUUUGUAGCGGAUUUUAGCUCGAACCUAGUUUCUGAAGUAGAAAAAGAACUAUAAGUAUUCACCGAAGCUAAUCCGAGGACUUGGACCCUAUUUACUGACAGUUCCUCAAAUGUUAAAGGAGCAGGUUUGGGUAUUAUUUUAAUUCCAUCAUCGGGUGAAGUCAUAAGACAAGCAAUAAAAUGUUAUCCAAUCGCUAGCAAUGAGGCAGAGUAUGAAGCUCUGAUUGCAGGCCUAGAGCUGGCACGGGAGCUUGGUAUCGAGAAAAUUAUGAUCAAAAGUGACUCGCGGCUGGUAAUUAAUAAAAUGCAGGGGACUUCCGUGGCGAAAGAGACACGAAUGCAACAAUACCUCGGAAAGGUAUGAUAAUUUCUUAGACAAUUUCAGACAUGGAAAGUCGUGCAAAUCCCCAGGGAGGAAAAUGCAGAAGCGAAUGCGUUGGCAAAUCUCACAUUUGUCGUAGAUGCAACAAAUGUAGAAAAUGUUGUUGUGGUACAUUUGUUUCAUUCAGCACUCGAUCAAACCAAGAGUGAGGUAAAUUUUAAUAAUUUAAUUUGGGAUUGGAGAAACGAAUUUGUGAACCUUUUGCAGUAUGGAAUCUUGUCUGAAGAUAAGAAGAAAUCCCAAUUGUUACAGCUGAAAGCUGCCCAGUACUGCUUAAUUCGUGGAAAUCUAUAUCGUAAAAUAUUUGGUGGACCUUUAGCACAGUGCUUCGUACCAUCAUAAAUAGAAUAUGUAAUGAGAGAAGUACAUGAGGGGAAUUGUGAAAAUCACGUCGGGGGAAGAUUGUUGGUGAAAACAUUAAUAAGGGCAGGAUAUUAUUGGCCAAAAAUGAAAGAAGAAGCAGAAAACUUCGUAGCCAGGUGCGAUAAAUGUCAACGAUAUGGCAAUAACAUGCUUCAAUCUGCGGAACUAUUACAUUUUGUUAUUUCACCAUGGCCCUUUAUGAAAUGGGGCAUGGAUAUUGUAGGGACUUUGCCUCAAAAUGAAAGGUACUCAAGCUAAAGGAAAGGUACGGUUUUUGUUAGUUUUAACGGAUUAUUUCUCAAAAUGGGUAGAAGCAAGUGCAUUUAAACAAGUUCGAGAAAAAGAAGUUAUGGAUUUCAUUUGGCGAAAUAUUACAUGCCGAUUUGGAGUUCCAAAGGAGAUUGUAUGCAACAAUGGCACAUAAUUUAUAGACGCGAAAGUCACCAAAUUCUUCCAAAGUUGGAAGAUUAAACGAAUUACUUCCGCACCUAUCACCAGCGGCCAACGGACAAUCUGAGUCGACAAAUAAGGUUAUCAUCAAUAACUUAAAGAAGCGAUUAGAGGAAUCAAAAGGCAAAUAGCCGGAAGUAUUACCAGGGGUGCUCUAAGCUUACCGAACAAUGGAAGAGACUAGUAUGGGUGAGACUCCAUUUUCACUUGUAUACACAACAAAAGCUUUGAUUCCGGUGGAGAUAAGUGAACCAAGCACAAGAUACACGCAUGUCAUUGAAGCACAAAAUGAGGAAGAGUUGCGGGUAAACUUGGAUUUGAUAGAAGAAAGGAGAGAAGCAGCAUUAAUUCGAAUGGUGGCUUAAAAGCAGAUGAUUGAACGAUAUUAUAACAGGAAAGACAAUUUGAGGUACUUUAAGAUUGGAGAAUUCGUCCUCAAAAAGGUGUUCCGGUCAACAAAAACAGCAAAUGCAGGAAAAUUGAGUCCCAAUUGGGAAGGCCCAUAUAGGGUUAGAGGCAUUGCUGGAAAAGGAGCAUACGAGUUGGAAAUCAUGGAUGGAAAGGUGUUACCGUCAAACUGGAAUGCAGUCCAUCUGAAGAAAUAUUACUUCUAGGUGGAGUUAAUACCCACGGUCAGGUAUCAUGCAAGUUCGAUUUUAUUUCAUUCAUUUGAAUUUUACUAACUAUUUUAGAUGUCAGGCAAAAAUCUGGCCCGUAACGAAUGAUGAUAUUAGACCUGAAAGACACGCGAAAUACUGAAAUAUUCCCAGUCGAGGUUACAACUUUUCUGAUGAAAAAAGGGUUAUUCAGUCAUCAUCUAAAAUGUUAUCUGCGAGUUCCGUUUUUUAUUUUUCUUUUUCAGGAAAAGGACCAAAAGAAAGGAGUUGAUCCAGUGUUCGAGAUUUCAUACUUCAAUAGUCCAACAUUGGGGGGACUAUGCAUAUAGAAUGUUACACAGGGAAGAAAUAUAUAUACCAAGGGCAUAGUUUAUCCUGAAUUAAAACCUUGAAGAAACCCUUGAAAAGUUUUCAAAUGAGUUCAAACUCGCAAAAAGAAUGCAAGAUAUUCCCAAGAGCUUCUAGGUUAAGGCCAUAUAUUUAGUCUCGGGAAGAUAGACCCGAAUUUGUAAACCUACUACAAUGAAAACAGUUAUGAAAAUGAUGUACAAAUUUAUUCAUUUGAGAGUUCAAAAAAUAAAACUUCCUCAAAUUAUUUCUUUUUUUAUAUCUAUUUCAUGUUUCAUAUCUUUGCAUUAAUAUGAAGAUGAGACGUCAUCUUCAUCAGUGUCAUUUAUAUAAAAGGGACCUCUUUUAUAAAAACUCGUGCAUAUUGAAGUCACGGUAUAUUAAAGCAUUUUAAGUGCGAAAAUAAGCUCAAAAAUUAAAAGAGCAGAAAGCAUAAUAUGCAGCAAAAACAAUAAAGAUAUUUAUAUCAUUACCCCAAAGAACAUGGGCGGCAAAACCUUCUAAAAAUUGUCCAAACAUAAAAAAUACAAGGAAUUCUAACUAAAAACCAACAAACACUUUCAGCAAAAAGCCGGGAAAAGGGGAGAGCUAAGGAGCAUCAUCAACGGGAGAAGUAGGAUCAACUUGAGAAGAAGAGGGUUGAACAUCAGCUUCACAAGGAGUAAGUCCAUCUCCAUCACUCUUAGAACCUUCGUCUUCAGGCGUGGAAAAGCUUUAACGUUGCUGAGUCUGUUCAAUUAUUUCUUUAGCCUUAGCAAUCCCAGCAUUAAGGUCAAAACCCUCCUGACUGGCUUCAGUUAAAGUCUCAAAGAGAAUGUUCAAAAAAGCCCAGCUAACAUCCACUGAUAACUUAUCUUCGAGGGCUUCAUAAUCCUUCUCCCACUGCUCGUUCUCAGCUUUUAAUCCUUCUUUUUCUAUCUUCGAGGCUUCAUAAGUUGUCUUCAAAGGAGCGAAAGAACUUUCCAGGAACUGAACUUUAUUUGUAGAGGCAAGGAGGUCUUCUUGAGCUUGGGUAAGCAUCUGAACUAUAUCACCCACGUAAACCUCUUUUAAUUAAGUAGCUCUUUCAAACUCCUUAUCUCUUCAGUAGCCUUGGAAUGUUGUUCAGCAAAUAAGGAUUCCAAUCUAUCAUUGUCCUUCUCGACUUGACUGGAAGAAGCUUUUAAAACUGCUAACUCAAUGGAGACCAUCCUCAGUUGUUGUUCCAAAACUCCUUUCUCCUCUGGAAGAACGUCCUUCUCAAACUGAAGUCCUUCAAAUUGUUCUCUCUAGUUAUCAUCCUUGGUGCGCAACUCAAUUAAUUGCUGGUCAGUCCAAGAGAUCCUUUUCAUAAGCCUAUCAAAUUAAUCUACAAAAAAGCAAAAUAAGAGGAGUUACGAAUGAGGAAAAGGAAGGAAAGAAAUAUAAGUAAAGUUAUAACUUAAGAGAAGAAUGAACGAUGUCAUUCAUUAAAGUCAAAGAACUGUGACCCUCUAACUUCUUCUUUUCCGCGGGUCCUAACAACGGCUUCAGCUACACAUCAGCUUGUCCAGAUUUUCUUAACAAAUUCCCUCCCUCGGGGACUUUAAUUACAACCUUUUUCAUAUCCCGCCUACUGCUAGAAGGCUCAGUUUCUACAUGAGGAGCAGCAAUGGGAGCAACUAUUUGGGCAACCAUUGGUGCAACGCUAGGCAAAGACACAUGGGGGAUAACAGUGGAUAAAACUGGAAGAGAAGCAAGUGGCAGCUCUUCGGAAAUAGGCCUGAGACAUUCUUCACCCUCAAAGCCAUGGGCGAAUAACCUUUCAAUAGGACUUGGGCUUGACUAAAUUACCAGCGUCUUAAUCAGAAAUUUCUAAAGGAACAUUCUUUGGCUCAUCAAUGAGUCUGAAGGGUAUUGAACAUUGAUGGGGGAUCAUGAGAGACAGGGGUUUCAUCAUUUGAAACCAUGCGUCUUCUAACACGCGGUUUUCUCACUAAGGAACCUUCUUCAGCAUCCUUGUCAUCAUCAGACCCACGAGCUUCAGUAGUUUUUCUCUUUGAGGAAGAAGCACUCAAAAUUCUUUCUUGUGCAGAACUCAUAGAAAGCAUGAUUGAGGGAACAGAUGCCGGACUGAUGCCAUGAAUGGCAAACCCUAAUAGGAAAGGAGUGAUAAAAAAGUUAUACAUGAACAAGUAAAGAAGGAAAAAAACUACGAGAAUAAAAAGUACCUUGAGUUUUCACUUUCCAACCAAAUUUCUGUGAAAGUCUUCGAAGAAAUUCCUGCUUUAGUCCGUGGGAGCAGCAGUCAACAUUUUUUCUACCCAAGCACGGAAGUCAGGAAUUUCUUCGAAGACUUCCAUGGUUGCUGAAAAAAUAAAUAUAUGAUUAUGUAAAGGAACUCAAACAUCAAAGGUAGAAAAAGAGGGAAAAAAACUUGCGUGCAAGGUUCCAUUUUUCUGGAAAAAGCAUAUUUUCUUCACCCACUAAUCUACUGGUGAGGGCAGGAACAAAUCGGGCCUUCCAGCGGCGAUCACGAUCAUCCUUGGGCCUGACUAAAAUCCUUUUACUUCCAGCCACGAGAGAAAAGAUAGCUUCAAGAAAAAAUUUUGAAGAAUAAAGGUGAAGUAAGUGAUGGAAGAUAAAAGGAGCGGAAACCAAAUCCGACAAAUAACGAAGGCAUGCCACUGCCCUCCACACGAUUGGACCGAUUUGACCAAAGAAAAUAUUGAAAUAGCGAUAGAACUAGAUGAUCACUGGGUAAAUGGGGGGGGGGGGUUAAACCCUAAAAGUGAAAGGAUAGGUGUAAACGAAGAAAAAAAUAGUAUGGUAAGAAGUGAUUCUUUGGUUGGCACCAGGAAUCAGAACUGGGAAAUCUGGUUUCCAAUGGCUUUCACAUUGAACUAAAGAAAGAAGCCCUGGAGUGAUCAAACUUGGAUAAUGUUCAGUAGGAUUAAGGGAAGCUAUAGAAGAAACUUGAUUUUUAUGGCUUCACGAUCUGACACAAAAGAAAACUAUUGAGGAACAAUCUCAGAAACUAUAGGUUCACGCAUGGGUUCGUUCUGAUCUCUACUCUUAGAAGAAGAUCUAGGGGUUAAAGAAGCUUUAGACCUAGAAGGAGACGGCUUGACAGAACUACUUUGAGGAGUAGAACAGCAAGUGGUUAAUGAACCAAGAUUGCGGAGUCUACCACCCCCCUACUCCUAGUAGGGGCAGUAGAAGGAGCAAGUUCAUCGACGAUCACGACCUUACGAGGAUCUGGUGUUGAAAAAGACAUAUUUUACAAAGAAAAUAUAGUGGGAAGAUAGAGGAGUAUGAUGCAAGGUUAAGGAGAUGAAUAUAAAGAAGAGGAAGAGGAUUUCAAGAAAUCAAGGGAGAUGAAGUAUUUAUAAGGAGAGGCAGUCGUCAUCAAGGUUGAUCAUUAUGAAGUGUCAUAAUAGAACCGUCACUUCAUGACUGAUGCAACUGCAGAAAAACUCUUAAAAAGCGCUGAAAAAUAGCAAAACAAAUCAAAUUAAGCCACGUGGCAUGGGCAUUAAAUGGAUGUGACCUACGUCGCAUCGAUUCUGAAAAGAGCAUUAUGAUACUCGAGAAACAACAGCAAAAAAUUCUCGUCAUAAAUACUUACCACUUCCCGAAUAUUCAGUUGAGAAUAUUUAGAAAGUAGGGGGACUAUCUGUAUUAGUGGGAAAAAGGCAUGACACGUGAAUUAUCAUCGAGGUGACAGGGCAUGGUACGUGAACCAUCAAUAUAGCGAUAAAUGACAUUCUUAAUUAGACGAGUUAAAGAAUGCAAAAAAGCACGAGAAGAACACCCACGGGGUUACACUGAGAAAAACAAACCGGGCCUGACAGCUGUACAAGGAGAAACAUGAGGGGAAUGAAUAAAGACCAUUAAGAAUGGAAGAUGCACGUACCCGUCAUAAAUAAGGAAGGAAAAUCGAUACAGUUACGAGAAAUCCUCAGCCAUAAAUAUUUACGUUACAAUUGUAUAUGGUAACGGGUAAUCAAGGCAAUUAAUGCCAUUAGUGAGCCCGCAACAAGUAAGGAAAUCGUUAUAAUUGUAUGUUCCUAUAUAAGGACUAAAACCUCAUUUGAAAGAUCAUCUGAUUGAUUAAAAUUUAUGCAAUCAUUCUUUACUUUAUUCUCAAAGUUUUUAUCGCAAUUUUGGGAGUGAUUAUCAAUCUAUUUCGUAUUUUCAUUCCUUGUCAAUUAUUUCCAUUCUUUGCUUUAUUCUUCAAAUCACUAGAAAUGUAAAGUAAAUCUUGUUUAUGAGUAAUCUGAUUUCUUCUUGAUUUUGACUUUGACCGAGAAAUCUAUUUUUGGGUUAAACAAUAGACAAACAUUUCCAACAAAAAUGGCUAAUAACAAUUCACACACAAUGGCACAAAAACCAUCAAAUUUCAGAAUCAGAUCAGUUCCUGAGUACAUUUCAGGUUUUUUCUUAUUUUCAUGACAACGUAAAAAAAGAGACACAUCAUUCCUCAUAAACACUCUAGAAAUAAACUAAUAAACGACAGCCUGAUACACUAAGCUCCCACGUUAUACGUAGAAUCUGAGGAACGACUGGAUCACAUUGGAUCUUAACAGUGUUUGGUGCAGAAGCAACGGCGGCGGAAGCCCCGGCAAUGGCCGCCGUGAAAGCCCUCUGUCUGACAAACAGCAGCACAAUUGCUCUUCCUUACGCAUGGACCCUUGAAUCGGUGGCUUUGGGACUCACAAGUCCUUGCCUCAGCCACCAUUGUUCCCAUCUCUGUACAAGAAAUAUCAGUACGUAAGUAUGACACAUGUAAAUGAAUCUUUACACUGUCUCGUUAUCUAAAAAAAAACCGUUAGAUAAUUAUUCAUUAUAAGUGAAAUUAGUUAGUUGAAAAUGAGAAAGACAAUUUAUUACCACAUGUUAAAUUAUUACUCUGAUAAUUAAAAAUUAUUUACACUAUGAGUGUAGUGUAUAUACGUAAAUCUUAAAAGAGUUUUACCACUUAUGCUUUUGAGACCGCAUAUUUCCACAACUGAUGGAAAGCAUGACAAAAGAAUAGGCUAUUUUCUUUAUUCUUGAUUUUAUAGAAUACUUAGAAAAAUUAUACACUCUACCUCAUGUUAUAUGGCACUUUUUUCUUUUUGUUCUACUUAAAGAAAAAUGACACAUUUCCNNNNNNNNNNNNNNNNNNNNNNNNNNNNNNNNNNNNNNNNNNNNNNNNNNNNNNNNNNNNNNNNNNNNNNNNNNNNNNNNNNNNNNNNNNNNNNNNNNNNNNNNNNNNNNNNNNNNNNNNNNNNNNNNNNNNNNNNNNNNNNNNNNNNNNNNNNNNNNNNNNNNNNNNNNNNNNNNNNNNNNNNNNNNNNNNNNNNNNNNNNNNNNNNNNNNNNNNNNNNNNNNNNNNNNNNNNNNNNNNNNNNNNNNNNNNNNNNNNNNNNNNNNNNNNNNNNNNNNNNNNNNNNNNNNNNNNNNNNNNNNNNNNAUAUAUAGUAUUGUAAGGUAUGAGCAGACAGCAGUCUAAAGUGAAUUAUUGAACCGGGGGGGGGGGGGUUACUUUGAAUGAUCUAAAAUAAAGGUAAAAGAAGAAAACAUAUACACCUAUGAAUAUCAUGACAACUUUAUAGCUUUUAUUAAAAUGUUUGGGGACUGAAUAAUUGCAUUAUAUAUAGCACAAUUCUUCCUUUAGCACCAUAAGAAAAACUAAAAGAAACAUUAAAGUGCUAAAAGGGAAAACCAAGAACGUGUGAAUAUUCACUUUAGAGGCCAUUUUUUUUUCUUUUUCUGAAUGCGCGUUAAGGUAUGGGAUCGGAUCUGCAUGUUUGAUAUGAUGUGCUUGUGAUUAUUGCUUUACAAAGUGUGAAAUAGGUGUUACUUUGAGACUCCUAAAAGCUCCUGCCUGUCGGUCGUGACUCGUGAGAAUAAUUUGGGCUACGGCAGCGGCGGAGCUAGGAAUCCGAAUUCCCUUUGCUGAAAUUAUAUUGCAUGGCAAAUUUUAAUGUAUAUACAAUAUAUAGGUCAAAUUUCUUUAAUUUAUUUGUGUGUUAACUUCUUUAUAUUUUGAAGUCAUAAUUAUCGCACAUUCGUAACACAUAAAAAUGGCAAGGACAUAUUCGCAUGACUUAUUAAAAACACUUUAAAAGUUCUAAUAACCAAGCAAUAAGAAGCAAAUCACAACUAAUAAAAUACACUACAUCUAAGAACUAAUUUGAGCGAGAUAUAAGUCAAUACAAUCGAUGUGCUAAAAAUACGGGAUCGAAGGGUGCCUAAAGUGCACCUUCCCCCGGUUAAAAGAAUUAUUUACUCGGUCUUUUAUUUUUGUAGACCAUAAUUAAGGAGUCAUUUUUUUUUUCAGUUAGGGAUUCAAUAAGGUGACUUGGAACUCCAAAAAACUCAAUUUAAAGCAGUGACUCCGAAACAGUAAAAUAAUUUCUAUUUAAAACGAUCAAUUCAAUUGAAAAAACUCUUACAGCUUAACCCUGUUAACGAAAUUGGGUUAAAAAGUAGGUGUGACAACUCCGACGAUUUCGUCACUCUACUCUAGAGGAAGAUAGAAGAGUUCUGUUUUCUAAAUGAUUAUAGCUAGAGACUUGCUAGUACUUUGUUCCUAAGGAAAAUCCUACAAAGACAGAGGGUGUUGAUUGCUUAUGAGUUGAAAGUUCUAUAUAAGAGCUAUGUAUUACACAAUCCACCCUAAAAAUAAAAUAUGUACAUAUUUAGUACUAAGAGAAUCAAAAUACUGAUUUAUACCGCGUGUGUAAAUUGAAUCCCAAUAAACAGAUUCUAAAGUAUGUUUCUUGAAGUAACUUUUACAGCAAAUUAGUAUUUAUUUUGGAAAAUAUAUUAAUUUAUGUCAAUGUGAAAAUCUUGUAGGUUUGCACCAGUGAUUUCGUCUCUUCGAUCGGCAAUGCACUCCGGAC
rnacentral:lncRNA from 1 species